UCACUUGCUUCCCUUCAUUAUCUUAAAAACUCCAUUCACACUAAUAACUUCUAAGGUUCUGUGUAUGCACAUAAGCUAAACACGUGGUGGAAUGGGAGGUUGCUACGACCCAAAUGCAAUACCUAUUCAAGUAUUCAACAAUCAUAUUUAUUACAAUCACUUCUCUCAUUCUUACUUUCUCAAUUUUACAAAUUUCCUUCUCUAUUUUUUUUUAAUUUUAUAACGUGGGUCAACUAUAAUAAAUCAAUAAUAGAGGGGAUGAGUAGGUUCAUUGAAGUGACUUUUUUUUAUAUUUUAAGUUUCAUUACGAUUAAACAAUUCUAAAGGUGACUUUUUAUAGUUUACACUUUGGUUUGCUUCAUAUAGACUUUUCUCGAAUUUUAGCCUCUUUCUUUUUUUAAUUUACACGUGCAAGUCAAUUAUUAGUUGCGUGUCAAAUAAGCACUAAAAAUUAUAAGGUUACAUGUAAUGUGACUUGUUUAAUGUAACAUUAUGUGGUGAGUUUUUGAGAAAAAGAGAAGAUAAAAUAAAAUUUGAAAAAAAAGAAAAAUUUUCACGUUGGGAUAAUGAGAGAAAGAUCAGUGUUAUGACUUUUACAAUAUGAUGUAAAAAGUACACUUAAAUUUGAAGAAUAUCUAACUAAAUGUUACUUUCAUUCUUAAAAUUAUAUUCAUAAAAUUUCAAAGUUUUUUUGUCAUAUUUUUAUUAGCAAGAAGGGGGACACACAAACACACAUAUAAAAGGAAUAUUGAUCCAUACACAUAUAAACAGAUAGUGUUAUAACAUAUUUACAAGCUAAAUAUAUAAAUAACUAAUAACCUAAAAUGUUUUUUUCCUAAAAAUAAUUAGAAAAUUAAGUAUUUAACUCCAAGCAUCCCACCCUUAUUGUACACAAACUUGCUGAUGUACAACAAAAAGCAUGAAUAAUUUUAGCACAUAUUCUCUCACUUUUGUUUAAAGAAGCUAAGAGAGCUAUCCCACUAAAUGAAAGGUGGGUAGUUGGAGGAAUCUACCCUAGUAAGUCAUAUCCAACAUAAAAUAUUAUAUAUUGAGUAUUUUCAUUGAAUACUUCACCUUGGAAGACACACCAAUUUUGCUGCCUCCACAAAGUCCAUGAUAUAGCAAACCAUAAAAUUUUCCAUUAUGUUAUCUUCAACACCUUUUGUCUAGAGAAGUGUUGACAUAAAUGCAUUUUUAAAUCACAUGGAAGAGCAUAGAAAAAUCAACCCACUUAUAAUAGGUUUGGCAUAUAUUGUGGGCUGUAGGACAAGAGAAAAUAACAUGGCUUGCUCAUAAAAAUGGCAUAUAAUUUACUUUGGUGCUUGGACAAUGUCCCUCUACAUAAGUUGUCUUUGUUAGGUAACCUUGAACAUAAUAAGACCAUGUUGUGUUCAAUUUUGUUUCUUUGGAUGUGUUUAUAUGCAAAGUUUACAUAAUAGAGUCCUUCCCUUCCUCCCCAAUUCAAAAAAUCCUCCUCCCCUUUUUGUGAUUCCUUGUUUUAUCAAUUAAGCAAAUUUUGCAAUAAUUUUUGUUCCCAUUGCAACAAUUCUCUUGUCCAAGAGAAUCUCUAAAGCCAUGUAUUUACUUCUUGUUCUUAGAAAAAUUAAGGGAAAGGAAAUUCUACAAACUUUCUUUAUAAAUCCUAAACCCUAAAACUUAAUAGAUAAUUGGUCUAUUGGUACAACAUUUCAAUUUUGUUUCAAAUUUAGUUUCUUAUUCCCUACCCUCCUCUUAUGUAUCAAUCUAUAUUAUAUGUUGUUUGCAUAUUACUAUAUCAUGUUAAAGUUUAGUUUGCUCCUCAUUACCUACCCUUUUAUGUAUCAAUCUAUUAAACCACUUCUCAUGAAUUUGUUAAUCUGUACAUUUUUUAACAUCCCUCCACUAAGAUUUAUUCUUAUAUUCUUCCUCUCCAAUAAGGUUUUCCCCAUGUCCAUAUUUUGAUACUCACUCUAAAAAAUCCUUCUCUACCUUCCCAAAAGUAUUUCAGUCAAGAUUAUGAUGUCCUUAAUUCCUGAGUCCCAAAACUCAUUUGAAUAACACAUUUUUUCUCUAAGUCCCAAAACUCUUUUGAAUAACAAACUUUUUUUUCCAACUAACCGAUGCAUAUUACUUUGACCUUCUUUUCCACCUCAUAACAAAUUAUUUUGUAUAGAAAUCAACUUCUUAGUCACAAUCUUUUGGGAUGUAUAGAAUGAAAGAUGGAAUAAAGGGAUAACAACACUAAGAUUAAUUAAAUCAACUAAGUCUAACAUGCUUGCCAGUGAUAUAAAUAAUAAAUUUAUGUUUUCAAGGGGUUAUUUCAUGGAUGAAAUAGAUCAAAGUUUGAUAGGUAGUGAUAAUUGUUAAAUUUAUUACCAUUUUUAUAAUUCUAUUAUAAUAUUAAUAUAUUCAAUCAUGAUUUUUGGUAGAGUGAUUUAUACCAAAAGUUAUCGCUGUAGUAUGAUAUGGUUGAUUUAGUUUACUCGGUCUCUCUUACUCAACAAUUAAUACAAUACAUAAUAACAAUACUUUUUUGCAUCAAUAAUUAUUUCACUGAGAAUUAAGCUCGUAACCUGAUUUUAAUAUAAAUUAUCAAAUCAAAUAUUUACAAUUAGGUUAAAAAUUAUGUAAUAGAUUUUAAUAUAAAAAUGUUAAUGUGAUGAUGUGUACGUUAUAUGGUCAAUGUUUUAGAGCAUACACUUUUGGUUCUUGUAUUGGGGAUUAACGUUAUCUCUAGGGUGUAACUUGUUUGGCUAAAGCGAUGACACAAAUUCAACAAGUCAUGGUUAGAAGGUUCAAGAGAUAAUGUUAUUAUUUUAUAAUUAUUAUACUUGUAAAAUAUUCUACAAGUAUUCACAUUACCAAUAAAUUUAGUAAUUUUGUUAACUAAUUUUUCAAUGACUCACAGUUCACAAAUAGGAUCAGGUUUAUUUAAAUUUAGCUAACACAUUUGGCCAGUGGACCAGUGGAUCAGUGUGUGAACUUUAGUACAACUUGAUUUUUUCUUAAAAUACCACUAGCACAGAAGUAUCUUGGAAUUUAGAGUUUCAUUAUGGUUUUAUUUCUAAAAUAUAUAUAAAAAUUAUGAAAAGAAAAAUAUAAAUUAUCUUUAUCUUAACUCUUAAAUUAUCGACUUCUGAACUAUAUAAGAAUAUCGGUAAUAAUCUAAAUAUAAAGAAAAAAAUGGUGAUAAUUUACUGUACAAUUGUAUUGUACCAACUGUCAGAACCAUGCCGAAGAAAUAUAAAAUUGAAAGAAAAAUAAAAAAGCAGAAUGUGAAACAAAUGAUAUUUGUGAACGUGUGGGCCUUCUUAACCAAAAAAAUCUUCAACCACUUUACAGCGUUACCAUAAAUCAAAUUAAGAAAAUAUAAAAAUAGCAAAAGGUAUCUUCGUUGGAAAGGGUCGUGUACUCAUGUCAAUAAUCUUUAUAGAAAAAAAGUAUAUAUUUUGACGAAUAAGGAAAAAACUUGUAAUUAUUCUUCAUAAAUAAGUUUGCCAUGCUUGUUGAAGAUGAACGAAGAGUUUAGGUUCCUUUAAUAGAAAUUGAGACUUAACUUCUAUGUACAAAAGAUAAGAGGUUUAUUCCUUGAAAUUAUUCCACUUCAAUAUAAUUUUUUUUAUGAAAGAUUAAAAAAACACCGUGAAGUCAAUUAAUAAACAUUUUACCUGUUCGUUGGGUAUACAAUUGUUGACGUGUCGGUUGUCCUUAAGUUUCUUCAAGCUUUCUCUCUUUGUUGUAGGUGCUCCGUCGGUUAAGGGUACUUGCGAUUGUACUCUGACGCUCAAGUCAACACUAUGAUUUAAGUAUGUUCUCCUAGAAUAUGAAAAACGUACCUCAUUUUCUCACCAAGAGUUUUAUUUAUAAUGUUGACUCAUGGAAUUUUAUGUGUGUGGGUUGGAUAGUUAGUUAACAACUAACAUGCAUAGUGGUUCCCUGAUAUCAUGGAAGUGUACCUUUCGGUUUUACCAGUUUCUAUCGAUAUAUUGUGAUAUUCCCCUGAUAUUUCGGAGUGUGCAUUUGAUCCAUUCAACAUUACUUGUAACUGUUUAUUUACUACGUUGUAAAUGAUAUUUGUAACUGAUUUAUUACCUUGGAUGUCGGUUGUUCGAUCGUUCGGCCCCGACCGAUACACUCUUGCCCCCCAGGCUCGAAGAGAUUCAUUUAUGAAGAGUCGUGUAGGAUGGUUGGGGUUCUCGAGGUGAUGCAUGACUGCUGGCAACAUUCAAUGUGUGGCAAAGAUGUGACAUUUGGCAAUGCCACCGUUUCAAGAUGCACUGUUUCAUUAGAUGCAUUCAAUGGUGGGGAUUUCGUGUCGUUUUGGAUGCCGAGUAGUGGUGACCAUUGGAUCACGUUAGAUCGAAUGGUGUUGGAUGAAGUGUAGAGGACGCUCUCUCUUACUUGCAUGGCUAUAAAUAGCGCUUCAUUAGAACGUGGGAGGGUUUACGCUUUCCUGUUUGCUCCUAGAACUUGUGUCAUUUGCUCCAAGUGCCGAGUCCACUACUUUCUUUAAAUUGUCAAGUUUUUAGGUCACUAAUGUCUUCUUCUGAUAACGUUGUUAAUAUCGAAUCAUAUGUGACGCUUACUACGUCAGGUAGUGCGAUAGAGGGUAAUGGGUUUGACGACCCAAGUUAUAAUUGGGUUGAUCCAUCAGUGUUAAAAAUUCCCACUAGGUUGAGGGAUUCUGAUAGUUUAGACCAAGUUUUGGCUAGAAAUUCAUUUCUAAAGUCGGACUGUCCGUCAGAUGCGAUAAUGGCUGAUAUUUAUGGUCGAUAAAACGCGCCACAAGAUUUUUUCUUUGUAUAUAGUACUUUUUUCACCAAUUUGCACGUAACCUUGCCUUUUGACGGUUUUACAUUGGAGGUUCUUCGAAUCCUCAAUGUAGCACCCACUCCAUUGCACCAAAACUCGUGGGCGACCCUUCAGGCGUUCUGAGUGUUUUGUCACCUUUUUAAACUUCUGCCCACACCUGAUGCUUUUUUAUAUUAUUAUAAUACCCGUCCGAGUACUCCUGUGAGUUGGUUGUCUUUGUCUAGCUGAUCGGGCAAUAUUCGAUUUGUUGCUUUUACAACCUCAUACAAAAGUUUUAAAGAAAAGUAUUUCAAAAAUUUUGUGGAGCCGGAUGGUCAAGAUCUGUUUUAUAAUGCGGACGGUCGCACCAAAUUUCCUUUCCAUUGGACGGAGAAUCCGACCCAGCUUGGUAAUUGGUUGUUGUCAUCUAUGUCACCAUUGGACAAAUCAAUUUUGGUAGUUUUUGAUCAACUUUCCUAGAACCUUCCACCCGAGAGUUAAUAGUUUUACAUGGGUCAUCCAAGAAGUGGGUAGAUUUCAAUGGUAUGUAGAUUUUCUACAUCUAACGGUGUAUUCGUUAUAUUGAUGUGGGUUAAUUUUAUAUGUACUUUGCAGCUAUUAUCUUUCGGAUGGAUCUGGCUCUAAGCAAGUUCAUGAGUAAUUUGAAGCGAUAAGCAACCAAACAGAAGCUCAGAAGCUUUAAGGGGAUUCAGAAAGAAAAAGUUAUUACCCAAGUUAAAGUUAUCCCUGCCACUACUUCGAUUCCACCGGUAGCUAGUCGAAAGAGCGAUCGUCCGCCUAAGGUCCAAGCUGGUCCUGAGGCCAGGCAGUCUUCCAUCAGGUAGCCUUCCAUGCUAAGCCCUUCGAUGCAAGUGGCACAGGCGGUACAAUUUGACUUGCUCCUGAAAGAUGAAGGUGUAUUGGCGACCAUACCAACUAGAAACUUGAUACAAGAAUUAGUUGAAUUGCAAAGUAGGCUACUGUCGUGGGUAAGACGCUUGGUGAGGAAUUAAACAGGACCAGUACAGUACUAGUGCCUAAGUUGAGGGACAAGUUGGGGGAAUCGGCUAAUUCUUUGAAGGCGGCCUUGGAGGCUGUCGAGGCUUGUAGAGAAAAUAUGUGAAAGGAUGAAUUGGUGGCCAAAGAAUUACAAGAGGCGUUAAAGGCACAUCUUACCAAAGUGGAGGCUGAAAGAGAUCAGCUUCUAAAAGAGAAAGUUGACCCCGAGGAUAAAGAAAAAUCCCUCACUGCCAAGAUAGAGAGGUGCCAGGAGUUUAUGUUAAGAAUAAAUGAAAAGAGUUUUUAUCAGGGUAUCCAGCAGACAGCUUUUUAUCAUGGCGUGCUAAUGGAGGACCUUUGUUAUGAUUUGAACAAAGAUGUAACAGCGAGCUGGUGCCACUUGGUGGGAAUGUCAUGGAUGCUAUGGAAGAGGAAGAACCUCAGCGUAUCGAGGUGAUCAAGCCAGAGCCGCUGGUCGACGAGAUAAUAUAGUGAAUUUGAAAACCUGGACCAAGGUUAACAAUCUUUAUUAUCGCAUUUUUACUCUUAACUGCAUAUGAAUGACUGAAUAUCUUUUAUUCUUGCUUUUAUAUAUUCGUUAUAUGGCUUUGUUGAAUGACUAGAUUUGAGCAAAAUACUUGUGUUUAACGUUAAUAAUCUUUGAGCCAAGCGAGUGGUAAAAUUAGUAAGUUAUUAACAAAUUUUAGACCCUUAGAGCGGUAGAAUAAUAACCAAGUUAUGAUCGCAUUUCAGACCGACAAACCAGUUAGAAUAACCAAGUUAUUAUUUAAUUUCAUAAUGAUAGACCAGUAUAGUGACGAAUUUAUGAUUGAAUUUCAGACCGACAGACCGGUUAGAAUAACCAAGUUAUUAUGGAAUUUCAGACUGAUAGACCAAUAGAGUAACGAAGUUAUGAUUGAAUUUCAAAUCGAAGGAUUGGUUAGAAUAACUAAGUUAUUAUUGAAUUUCAUAUUGAUAGACCAGUAGAAUAGCAAAGUUAUGAUUGAAUUUCAGACCGACGGACCGGUAAAAUAAUAACUAGUUGAGAUGUGUCGUAUGGAUGCAAUGUAAAAUAAAGAAAGUGAUGUAAGACUGAAGUGUUUCUAAAGUGCCUCGUUAAAACCUUCCCGAUCGAAAACCCUCAUUAGGGAUAAAACGGUCGAGCGAGGAAAGAGUACACUAAUAAAGUUUAUCAGCUGUAAUAGAAUUUGAGAUACGUGGCAUUCCACAUUCUCGGUACAGAUUUUGCUGAUAAAUAUUCUAAGUAGUAAGCACCUCCUGCUCCUGUGUCGGCAAUUCGAAAUGGCCCUUCCCAAUUGCUGAAGAAUUUUCCAUCCGUCUUUCGGGCGUCACUGCGCAUGCGCCACACUAAAUCUCAUUGUCGCCCGUAAUUUGCACGCUUCCUCCGUUAUCUUGCAUUGAUCUCUAAGUUUGUUGAUGAGGUCGAGACCGACCAACAGACUCUCCUUGUUCAAGUCUAAAUCCAAUGUUUGUCAUUGUAAGGAAGGUUCUCCUACUUCGACAAGUAUCAUGGCUUUUGUACCAUAAGUUAGGCUAUAUGGUGUUUCUUGGGUCGUAGACUGUGGCGUGCAGCACUAGGCCCAUAAAACCUCGAGCAGUUCUUCCGUCCAGUUACCUUUUGUUGGACCAAGUCUCUUUUCUAAUUCAUUGAGGAUGAUUUUAUUGGCCGUUUCUGCCUGAUCAUUUGUUUGUGGGUGCUCUACUGAGCUCGUAAUGUGUUUGAUGUCGAUUUUUUCGUAGAAUUAAGCGAAUCCUUGGUCGGUAAACUGUCAGUCGUUGUCGAUGAUGAUAAUGUGGGGUAGUCUGAAUCAACACACGAUAUUUUUCCAAACAAAAUUUUGGACGUUCCGUGCAGUCCAUUUAGUGAAGUAAUCUAUGGCGACCAGCAAAAAAUUGCAUUGCCCUUUGCCUAAAGCAAAUGGUCCAAUGAUGUUCAUCCCCCACUUCACAAAUGGCCACGGGGAGAGAAUGUAAUGGAGAUUCUUGGGUUUUUGUGAGAUAUGCUACCAUAUUCUUGGCAUUUCACACAUUUUCAUACAAAGUUGGUGCAGACUCCUUGCAUGGUCUACCAGUAAUAACCUGUCCAUAGUACUUUGGCUGCCAUUGUUCAUGCUCCGGAAUGAGUUCCAUAGACCCCUUCGUGUAUUUCGCGCAUGACAUACUUGACCUGCUCAAAAGUAAGGCAUUUGAGAAGCGGACGAGUGUACCCUCGUCUGUAGAGCUCUUAAUCUAUCAGGAGGAAUCGAGCAGUCUGUUGCUUCAUCAUUUUUUCGGAGUGUGCUUCAGAUAUUCCAUCCGUUAGAUAUUGUUUGAUGGGUGUCAUCCAGUUGAGUUGGGUAUCAGUCGUCAUGCAUUCUUCGACACCUACACUUGGGUUAGUUAAAGUCACAUAAAUAACUGACCGAUGAGUUCCUUUUUUCCUGGCGGUUGCUAAUCGGGAGAGCGCAUCGGCUCUAGUAUUAUUUUCUCGUCCAUCAUGCUGAAUUGAUACCUCGUCAAACUUAGUAAUUAAAUUUCGUAUGAAAUGAAUAUAUCGUUGCAGUAAUGCUUCUCGGACUUCAAAUUCUUCGUUCAACUGUCCGACCACCAAUCAAAAAUCGCUCUUGCACUUCAAGUUCUUCAUUUUUAAAUCAAUGGCCAAGUUAAGACCGAUUAUGAUGACUUCAUACUCCACUUGAUUGUUUGAGGCUUUGAACUCAAACUUGAUGGCUUGCUCGAUAAGAGUAUUAUUUGGUCCUUCUAGAACCACCCUGGCACCGCAUGAUCGACUAUUCGAGGAUUCGUCAACAUGCAGUGUCCAUUGGGAAGUUUUGGUCGUAAUGGACUGGGGACUGAGUUCAGCCGCAAAAUCGUCGAGAGCCUAUGACUUAAUUUCUCCUCUGGGUUGAUACUGGAUGUGAAAUUUUGAUAAUUCGAUAGCCCAUCCAAUCAUUCGGUCGGCUAAAUCUAGUUUUGCCAAAAUUUUGACAAUGGGCUAAUCAGUCCUUACUAUGACUUGAUGGUUCUGAAAGUACAUGUGCAUUCGGCGAGCAGUCAUAACCAAAUCUAGCACAACUUUCUCAAUCAUUUGGUAUCGGACUUAUGCGUCAUGGAGAACUCAGCUAACAAAAUAAACAGUUCUUUCUUUGGUUCCUACUUCUUGUACCAAAACUGAACUUACUGCAUCAUUUAAGACAGUCAGGUAAACAAUGAUGGGUUCUUUGGCGUUUGGUUUGUGUAUGACUGGAGGAGAUGCCAAAAAUUAUUUUAACUGGAGAAAAAUUUGUUCACAGUUGUCUGUCAAUUCAAACCUGGACGCCUUUUUCAACAGUUGUACAAUAAGCUUUCUUUUCUCUACAGGUUUUGGCACGAAACAGGAAAGUGUCGUGAGUCGGCCGACCAACCUCUGAAUUUCCUUGAUGUUGUUAGGGCUUCACAUCUCGAUGAUAGCUCGACACUUUUCGGGGUUGGCUUCUAUUCCUCGAUGGGUGAGCAUAAAACCCAAGAACUUUCAUCCCUCUACGCUGAACGCACACUUGUCGGGGUUAAGGCGCAUACGGUAUCUGCGAAGAGCUUGGAAGACUUCCUUCAGAUCCAUUAUAUGUUGUUUGCAUGAAUCGGAUUUGACGAUGAUGUUCUUCCAAUCAUAUCCUGAAAGACAAAAUCCAUUAACCGCUGGUAAGUGGCUCCCACACUUUUGAGACCGAAGGGCAUGACUUCAUAAUAAAAGUUGUUGGAGUCGGUCGUAAAUGCCUUCUUUUCUUUAUCUUGCGGGUGCAUUUGAAUUUGAUUGUUCCCAAAAUAUGCAUCAAGGAAACUGAGAAUGCUAUGACCAAUCGACGAGUCGAUCGAUGGUUGGUAGGGGAUAAGAGUCUUUGGGGCAUUGGUAUAAUCUACACACAUCCGCCACUUGCCAUUGGAUUUUUUUACCAUGACUACGUUGGCCAACGAUGUGGUAUAGUGAGCUCUUUGAAUAAAACCUUAUUUCACCAAUUUGUCGGUUUCUUCUCGGGCGAGCUUACGUCGUCCCUCCCCUAACUUUCAUUUAUUUUGGGCUAUUGGUCGGGCUUCCUUAUAAACGAAGAGGCGGUGGGUAAUGACAUUGGGACUUACUCCAGGCAUAUCUGCAACAAUCCAAGCAAAUAAAUCAGAGUUUUUAACUAGGGUCGUGCUCAUUAACUUCCAACCGUAUGGGUUUAGGGACGAUCCAACAUAAGUUUUAUGUUCAUCAUCUUGAAGGGGUAAGGGUUGUAGGUCUUCACCUGCCUUCAUACGGGCAGCGUCAAGCCGAGGAUCUAAAUCUACUAAGGCAACCAUGUGUUCUUCCGGAUACCUGUAUCGGGAGUGUCUCUCUGAUGACCGCCCCCGUCGUCUUGGAGACUUGUUAUGCGAUGACAUCGUGUAUAAUCGUCUGGUCGAUUCAACCUUUAGGCUAGCAACAUAACAUUCCCUAGUUAUCCUUUGGUCUACAUGUACUGUCGCAAUAUCUCCGGUCGUGGAAGGGAAUUUCAUUGCCAAAUGAGGGGUGGAGACUAAUGAUUUCAGGCGAUUAAUGGACGAACGUCCGAGCAAUAUGUUAUAUGAGGUAUUUGCAUUGACUAAUAGGUACCUGACAUUUAUGGUUUUACUGAGGUUUCCUUCCUCUCCAAAAGUAGUGAACAAAUCGAGAUAUCCUUUUGUAUCAACUCACUCACUUGAGAACCCGACAAUCUGCUUCUCAUAAGGUUGUGUGUUUGUUUAUGGAAUUCUCAUCUUUUUGAAAGUUUUCCAAUAAAUAAUGUCGACUGAGUUGCCCUGAUAUACCAAUACUUUAGUGAUUGUAAAUUUGUCUAUAUCCAUGGUGAUUACUAUAGGGUCGUCUUGUGUUGGGUCUAUUGCAGUAAAGUCGUCAUCUGUGAAUGUUAUUGAGGGGAUUCUUGGUCACUUUUGAGCAGAAGUGGAGUGGAUCGACUGAAUAGCUCUAAGAUGUUUUUUCCUGGCAGAAUUAAAGCAACCACCACAUGCAAAGCCUCCUGCUAUAUAGUUGACUGUUUCAUUAAGUGCACUGAGUGACACGAGGUCGGCUAUAGUGUUGAUAACUUCUCGUAUUCUACGUCUGGUACGAUUAUUCCUAUCAGGGCUUUCACUCCUUGGUUGAGCUCUUCUGACUGAGCUCUUCUGACUGAGCUCUCGCUUCGUUUUUGUCAUGUCGGACGGUGAUGAUUGUCGCAGCUUCGAGUAUCUCUUCUUCCGAGGUGUUCACGGUCUUUGGAAGAUUGAUUAAUAUCUCGUUGUGGCGAUCGGGAAGUAGUGAUGGUUGUCUUAACGAACUUGCGAAGAUGGUCGGCUUGGAUAAGUUCCUCUAUUUUAUCUUUCAAUGCUUGCCAGCUUUCGGUUGUGUGGCCAUAACUGCGAUGAUAUUGACAAUGUUUUGAAGUAUCGACAUUGCGUGGAGUCUGUGCUUGCUUAAGUGUGGGAAUUAAUUCGGUCUGCAAAGCUUCAUCCAAGACUCUUCCUCUUGGCAUCGUCAAAGGUGUGUAGUUGUGAAAGCGAGAGCCUCGGUUCUGUCUAUAUCAGUCGAUUCCCACCACUAAGGGUUAGUUGCUUUUAUUUUUUUCUUUAUCUUUUUCCUUUUUGGAGGCCUCAGCUUGUGCAUUCCUGUGAUAGUCAAUGUGUUCCUCUAUCUGCAUGAAUUUAGUGGCUCGUGUCCUUAAUUCUUCCAUGUUUUGUGUCGGUCUCUUAAUAAGACUCUCAGUGAAACGUCUUGGAUGUAUGGCCGAGACUAAGUAGUGCAUUGCUAUUUCUGGGUUCAAGUUUCUAAUUCCCAUACAGACUUUGUUGAAUAUGUCCAUGAAGGUUCUCAAAGAUUCUCCUUUUUCUUACUUCAAAUUUAGGAGAAACAUAGAUGAAGUGUGGUGAGGUCGGCUUGUCGCAUAUUGUGUGGUGAAUUUCGUUGUCAGAACUUUGAAGUUUUUAACAGAAUUUGAAGGAAGUCCAGUGAACCAUCCUAACGGACCCUCCUGAAGGGAGGUGGGGAAAAGUUUACACCACACUGCUUUGUUGGUUGUAUACAAGGUCAUUUGGGUUUUGAAAAUAUUCAAGUGGUCGUCCGGAUCAGUAGAAACAUCAUAAAGUUUGAUAGUUAGACCUCUCCAUUUAUCGGGGAGUGGCACGACAAUUAUUUCGUUUUUGAAAGGAUGGCCUUUCUGGUCUUCUUCAUCAUUGAGAGCAACGUCAUUUUUGGAACUUUGGUGGGUCUGAUGUGUUUGGAGGGUUUGAGGAGUCUGAUAGGUUUGAGGGGUUGGUGGUAAUGUUCUGGAUUGAUGAGUGUGUGGUGGUAACGGUGUACGAGAGUGUUCCUCUUGUUCGGGUCCUUUAAGUCGCUGUAGUCGUUUUUUGUUUUGUACCUUUAGAAGAGAUACAUCUUCCGCUUGCCAUCUCCAGUCUUCUUCUUGUCUACGCCGAUCCUCUUCAUGACGUAGCUGAUCUGCAAUUCCCUUUUGUUGUAAUUCCUCCAUUUAUGCUUGGAGGACAUGAAUCAUUGUUGUUUGUUCGUCUGCUAUACGGUCACUAUUUGCAUUGUUUCUUGUUGACACCAUCGUUGUUGUUAAGUUUUUUGUUGAAAAUUUGAAGAUUACCUCAGCCCCACGGUGGGCGCCAAUUGUAACUGUACGGGGUGGAGGGGCCUAGGUAAUACCUGUCCGUUGGGUACACAAUUGUUGACGUGUCGGUUGUCCUUGAGUUUCUUCAAACUUUCUCUCUUUGUUGUAGGUGCUCUGCCGGUCGGAGGUACCUGCGAUUACACUCCGACGCUCAAGUCAGCGCUAUGAUUUAAGUGUGUUCUCCUAAAAUAUAAAAAAGCGUACCUCAUUUUCUCACCAAGAGUUCUAUUUAUAAUGUUGGCUCAUGGGUUUUUACUUGUAUGGGUUGGGCUGGAUAGUUAGUUAAGAACUAACAUGCAUAAUGGUUCCCUAAUAUCAAAGAAGUGUACCUUUCGAUUUUAUCUGUUUCUAUCAUUAUAUUAAAAUAUUUCCCUGAUAUUUCGGAGUGUGCAUUUGACCAUUCAACAUUACUUAUAACUAUUUAUUUAUUACGUUGUAAAUUAUUUGCACUUACCCGGUCGUCCAGUCCGACCUGUACCAUUAUACUUGUAAAAUAUUCUACAAGUAUUAUUAUUAUAGAUUCACAUUACUAAUAAAUUUAGGAAUUUUGUUAACUAAUUUUUCAAUGACUCACAGUUCCCAAAUAGGAUCACGUUGAUUUAAAUUUAGCUAACACAUUUGGCCAUUGGACCAGUGGAACAGUGUUUCAACUUUAAUAUAAAUUAAUUUUUUCUUAAAAUACCACUAGUACAGAAGUAUCUUGGAAUUUAAAGUUUCAUUAUGAUUUUAUUUUUAAAAUAUAUAUAAAAAUUAUGAAAGGAAAAAUAAAGUUUAUCUUUAUCUUAACUCUUAAAUUAUCGACUUCUGGACUACAUAAGAAUAUCGGUAAUAAUCUAAAUAUAAAGAAAAAACUGGUGAUAAUUUACUGUACAAUUAAAUUGUACCAACUGCCAGAACCAUGCCGAAUAAAUAUAAAAUUGAAAGAAAAAAAAAAAGCAGAAUGUGAAACAAAUGAUAUUUAUGAACGUGUGGGGCUUCUUAACUAAAAAAAUCUUCAACCACUUUACAGCGUUACCAUAAAUAAAAUUAAGAAAAUAUAAAAAUAGCAAAAGGUAUCUUCGUUGAAAAGGGUCGUGUACUCAUGUCAAUAACCUUUAUAGAUAAAAAGUAUAUAUUUUGACGAAUAAGGAAAAAGCUUGUAAUUAUUCUUCAUAAAUAAGUUUGCCAUACUUGUUGAAGAUGAACAAAGAGUUUAGGUUCCUUUAAUAGAAAUUGAGACUUAAUUUUAAGUACAAAAGAUAAGUAUUAUAAGAGGUUUAUUCCUUGAAAUUAUUCGACUUCAAUAUAAUUUUCUGAAAGAUUAAAGAAACAGCUUACACGUAAACGGUGAAGUCAAUUAAUGAAGUGAAAAAGGUAGUAUAGUGACUACGGUAUUUUGGAAAGAUUCUUACCUUAUCACUUAACGGGAUAAUACUCCUAAAAUGUUUGAUUUGAUAGAAGCUAGAUGUAGAAUCGUAGAAUCACUUUUGCAAUAGCUUUUUGACGUGAAAAGUACUCAGAAACACGAACAAAACGCGCAACCAAACACGGAAACACUUGCCUCAUUUGUGUCUAGAUUUGAAAAUAAGUAGGGAUGAAAAUUUCUUUUUUUAUUUGGUAAUUUUAAAAUAAAAGAUUAAAUAUAUGAAAGUAGUGUUAUAUUACAGAAAGAAAAUAUGUACAAAACUCGUGUUCAACUUGACUAUAACUAUGAAACUAUAUAGAAGAUCAAUUAAAGUUUUUUUUUAACAUGAUAGGGUUUUUUUUUUUUUUACCAAAAUAGGAUCCUUUUAAAAAAAUUACAAAUUUAGGCAAGUCGUGUCUAAUUGGACGACUUCAUAUGCAGAAGUCGUUUCAAUUAGGUACGACUUUUGCCAUGUCAUACUAAAGUCGUGCCAACUUGGCACGACUUCUGCCCUGUCAUACUGAAGUCGUUCCAACUUAGCACGACUUCUGUCCUGUCAUACUGAAGUGAAGUCGUGUCAACUUAGCAUGACUUCUGCCACCUCAUAAAUUUUUUUUAAAUUUUAUUGUUUAUAUAUUGGGUAGUAAGUUAUGUAAUGUUCAAAAUUAAUUUGAUACAUAAUUUUCUAAGAGUGUUAGUUUUAAGGAACAAAAAAUUGGAAAAUCGUGUAUGGAUCAUGUUUGACGGUAAUGUAAUACAAUAACUUGAUUAUUUGAUUAUCCAAUUUUUUGUAAUUUGUUUAAACGGACCCCAUUUUAAUAAAAACCAAAAAAAAUAACCCAUCUUGGUAAAAAAUCCCAAUUAAAUCCAACUUAAUUACUAAAAUUUAUUUUUAUUACUUAAAAAAAUUAUAGGCCUAAUACAAUUAAAUUCUUAACUCCAAAUCAAAGUAAAUUUCCAUAGUUAAAUUCGUAAACUUAUCCAAUCAAUAAUCCUAAACUCUUGCUACAAAAUUAUGAUUAAAUGUCACACACUCAAGAAAGAAAUUUUAUAAAUUCAUACUCUUAAAAGUACAACAACAACAGCACAACCACUAUAAAAAAAAAUACUAGCCCAAUUAAUCUAAAACCCAACAACUAAAAACCACUGACUACAUCAUUCAUAUUCAAACACAUACAUUAUGCAUACGAAUAUAAUUUAUUAGGUCAAUGCUUAAACAUUAAAUUUAAUUAUCGUUUUCAAAUUAUUUUACAUAUUUAUAUUAAGACACAUAAAAAAAACAAUACCCCUUAAUUAAGAGACACAAGUUGCCACUACUUAUAAUAAACAGCGUGAUGUCAAAUAUUUAAUAUUUAAAUAUGAAAUAUAAUCCUACUUUUAAUUUUUUAUUUAGUUGGAUUGCAUUUUUGGUUUUUUAAUUGUCGGUUUUUAGUUUUUCUUCUUUAGUUUUUUUUUUUUGUAAUGUUGGUCUCAUAUUUUAAAAAAAAAUCAGAAAUUUUGAGUAUAUUUUAUUUUUUUAUAUUGACUAUAAAUUUAACAAAUUUCUUUCAUAUAUAUAUUAUAAGAAACUGAAUUCCGAUUUUACAAAAAUGACUCAUAAGAUGAUUUACACUUACUUAUAUACACUAAGAAAAUCAUAAAAUCAGUUUUAGAUACAAAAAUAAUUAGUUGUUAUUGUGACUAAAUUAGAGACCAUUUUAAAAAUUAAAAUAAAUUUUUGGUUUCUAAAUUAGUUUCUAUUGUUGUUAAAUAGUUUCUAAAUUGGUAUCUAACUAGCUAUCAAAGUUUUAACUACCAAUUAUUCAGAUUCUAAAUUUGGUAGCAAAAACAUUGGUAGCUUAUUAGAUACCAAUUUAGAAAUCAUUGAAUGAUAAUAGAAAUUAAUUUAGAAACUAUUUUUUUUUAAUUUUUAAAAUGGUUUCUAAUUUAGUCACUAUAAAAAUUUAUUUAUUUUUCUUUAAAAUUAGUUUCUAUUUUAUGAUUUUUUUUAAUAAUAUUUAUUCUUAUUUCUAGUUAAUAUUAAAUUCUUAUUGUAUUAUUUUUAUACAUAAAAUUAUAUAUUUACAAAUGAUUCAAUAGUAAAGUCCAACAAAUUUUUAUUAUAAUAAAUUUUAAAAAAACCUAAUAUCAUAACAAGAAUUAUAUUUUAAAAAUUUAUAAAAUAAAAUUUACAUUCAUUUAUAUAUUUAUAAAAUGUCUAUUUUUAUUAUUUAACGUGAGAUUUAUAAAAAGAUAUCAAUAAAAGACACGAAAACUAAUUUAAAAAGGAUAUAUAAAGAUAAAAACACAGCCCACGUGAUGGUUCAUAACAGCUUUGAAAAGUGAUAAACAACCUAUCUAAUUUCUUAGUUAGCUAAUAACUUGUCCUUUUGAAAGCUGAAAGGUCGUAUUGGGCAAUGGCCAAUUAUGAUCUUGUUUAUGUACCUCGUACGGAUAAACUACAAGACACAACCAAGUUCAUAUAUCAUCCAAUGUAUUGUUUAUCGAUGACAUAAGCACCUAUAAACUCUCAUAGGUGAUAACUGAUAAGUUCAUAUCUGUUCCGAUGCACCACGUGUCCACUACACAUCAUAAAACUUCAUUAUUAUAUGCAAGCUUUUGAGCUUUUCCAUGUAAUAAUGCCCAUUUUCUUAUUGUUCUUAAGUGGGUGAGUAGAAUAAGUUUUCCAAGAUCUAGUUGCAUCCCCUUUUGCUCAAUUAUUACAAUAAACAAUUCACCUUAUUUCAUCAUCAUGCUUUCUUUCUUUCUUUUCUCGUCUUGCAUUUUUCAUCUCAUCAACAAUGCCAGAUAGUGGAAAGUGUUGCUCCUAAUGAGACCCCACUUCUUCUCUCUCCCAUUUUCUUUUCCUUUUCUUCGAAUAGUAAUGCUUUAGGUUCUAUUACUAAUGUUACAACAUAAUGAAAAUUUUCUUUUUUAUGAAUGAUGAAGAAGUCUUUAAUUUUACAACUAAAGUGCUGUUAAAAAUUAGAAAAUAAAAAAUAUGUUUUAUUGUUUUCUAUUUUAAAUUUAUUAGUGUUUCUCUUAGGGAGAUGAGACCUAGAAAACGGUUGACUAACUUCGUUUUUCUCCAUCCUAUCGGGCAGUCUGCUAGAACUUCAACUUGUUCUUUUCUCGUUUUAGCGCUACUCCUUCAGGUCUCGAUCACUCUAUCUCAGGUGAAUGUCGAAUGAGGGUACCUGCAGAAGGCACUCCAACGCUCAAGUCAGCAAAGAGUACUUGGCGCUUGGUUGUCAGAGUAUAUUCAGUAAUGACGUCCCUUGUUCUUAGAAUGUGCGUUGUUUAUAUUAUUUUAAUGGGCUUACUUUAUUGGGCCAAAUUAGUGGAGUGGAUCGUGCUUAGGGACAUAUAUGCGUAUACCUAAUUCUUAAUGGUGGUUCAGUUUUGUUGACUUUGAUUUGAGCGCUAAUGAGUUGGAUGUGUUGGUCGGUCCGCACGGAUGUGCUGGGCUCGAUCAGCUCGGUCAUCCAGACCGAGUUAUGGUAUUGACCGUUCGGUCCAUACCAGUACAAUUAGUAUUUUAUUAUGGUUUUAUUUUUAAAAAUCAACUCAAACGAUUAAAAUAUUUAUUUAUUUAUAUAUAUUUAAAAAUUAUUAACUUAACUCUUAAGGGAUAUAUAAUAUAUAAUAAUUAGUUUUCGAAACUAAGAACAUAUAAGUUAUCAUUCUUAUAUUGGAUUCAUUAAACUAGUGUAUAACUAUUAAGAUGAUGUAACUAGAAAAAAUAAACUAAUAAGGGAAAAGUAUUGAAAUUAAAAGAUACUCAAAUAUAGUGGAACAUAUUGAUAUAUAAUAAUAUGUGGUGUUCUAUGAAAGUAAAGUAUAAGAUUUAAAAAAUAUAGGUAGAUGGUUGGUGACUUGUUUUUUUUCUUCUGAUAAAUAAAACUUAAAAAGGGUGAUAGGUUAUAGCAUUUAAGGAAAGGGUAUUAUUGAAGAAAGUGGAUAUAAUAUGAAAUUGUCACUUAUCAAUGAGUUUCCACGACUCCACGUGCAAAAAUCAAAUAAAGACUUUCUGCCGACAGCAAUUUCAGCCAACCAAUUGCAUAAACAAUUAAUGACUUUCUAUUUCUUUUAAACUAAGAAAGUUUAGACACGGAAAAGGUUAAGUUUUUCAUAAUUCAAAUAAAACUUUAUACUUAUUUUUAUUUUUAAUAUCUAAUAAAUAUAAAAUUAAUGGAUAACGGUUCGUAACGGAACUUAUUCUCUUAAAUAUUAAAAACUAACGUCAUAAAAAAAUAACGUAAAAAUUACUUUUUUUUUCUUAAUAUUAAAUGUUCUUCUAUGAAGACUUGAGUCUUUUCAACCGAUGAAAUAAAUUAUUUCUUCGUGAUCUUCUUUUCUUUAAUAUUCAAGUAAAUGUUUGGUUGUUGAUGUAAUAAAUAUUAUAAUAAUAAUUUAUAUUUAUUUUAGUUGUUCUGUUAUAUGAUGAGUCUUUUUACUAUUAAACUAAGAUAUAUUAUGAUUAGAAAUAUGUUAUCUAAAUUUUUAUAUUAUUUAAUUUAUAUUAAUAUAUUUUGAUAUUAAUGUAUUUUUUAUGGCGGUUGUUACGGGGUAUUCAGGACCAUUUGACCCUUAACAGUACACUAAAUAAAAUAAAAAUUUAUAAUUAUAUAACUUUUAAAGUAUGUUAAAUGAAAAAAUAUAUAUUUUAGCAAUUUGAAUUAAAAAUAAAUAGACGACGAAGAAAAAUUUGAUUUACAUAUUCUCGUCCCACUUUUGUAAUUAAUUAAAAUAGUUAAAAUUUAUAUUCAUAUUUAGUGAAUCAAGUAUUCUUCAACAAAAUGUAUAAGCAUAAAGUAUUGUUUAUUACAAAAUUACGAGAAGAUUGUGAGAGUUAAUGUUAACAAUGCAAUAACUCAUAUAAUAUCGUUUUUAUUUCUUAAUCAUAUUAUUUAUUAUAUUUAUAUUAUUUUUCUUCUCUCUCAUUUGUUUAAUUUAUCAUGAAAAUAACGUUUUUCUCUUUUGUUUUACUCUACUAACUGACGAGUUGCAAGUUCUGAUAAUUAGAUAACGAAACUAAAUUUGGACGGACCAAUUUGACGCGAUAAAAUUGAAUUAUUUAAUGUUGUAUUGAAAAUUAUGUUUUUAUUUAUAACGAGGCAACUUUCGUAGACAACCUUAUCUUUUCAUAUAAUUCCAUGUCUUUUGUGACACACAUUUUUAAGUUUUCAUUAUAAAUCAAAUUAAUAUUUUUAGUUAGUUAUUUCAGUCCAAGCAAAAAAAAAAAAAUACCCUCAAUUCUUUUUAAUUAACAUUAGGCAGAAAUAGGAUAUUAUAACAAAUUGUCAUUAAGAUAAUUUUGAAUAAUUUAAUCAGAUUUCUUUAGAUUUAAAGAAAUUGAAAGUUUCAAUAAAAUUGAUAAUUUUUUUAUUCAUUUUAGUAUUUGGAUAAAGUCUAUAUAGCACACUUCUCCUUCUUUUUCAUUCUGGUACUUGUUAUCUAUAUUCGUUUGAGAGUGAUUCGGUUAUCCGACGAUCAAGUAAAUAUUCUAUAUAUUAGAAUGAGUAAUAUAUUGAUAAAAGUGUACCUUAUUCUUAUGUGAUUGUGCUUAUUUAUAUUGUUUUAUGUCGUUUAUGGAUCGGAUCUAAUAUGUAUCUUUAAUAAAAGUAAUUAUCAUAUGUUUAUCGGAUUUAUAGUAUGAUACCUGAUUUAUUUCGUAUCUCUUUAUUUUCUAUUAAUGUAACCAAUUUCGACUACUGAUAUUGAAUGACAUGACUCAUUUGACUCCGACCGAUACCAAAAUUAUUUUAUUUUUAAUAUACGAACCAGAUAUUAUUUUCUAAAAUAUAUGAAUAUUUAUAACAAAAUAGAAUGAGAAUUUUCUUAUUUAAUAUAUAUAAUUAUUUUUUUCAAAAUUAUCCUUAAGUAUUCUGCUAACUUUUAUGGAAUCAUUAUAUUUUUUUUCUUUUAGUAUUUUUUACAUUGAAAAGAAAACGAAGAUAAAUUAAAAUAUAUUUUAAAAGUUUAUUUUUUUAACUUUUUUAUUCUAAUAUUUAAUAUAAUUCAUAUUAUUUAUAAAGAAUUUCAAAAGUACAAAUGUUCCUAGCAACAACAUCAUAAAUUCUUCUACAUCUAAGCUACACUUAAAAAAAAUAAUUUAAUAAUAACUAAUUUAGAGACAAAAAAUAAUUAGUCAUUAAUAUGACUAAGUUAAAUAUUAUUUUAUAAUUUAAAAAUAUUGAUAUAUAAAAUAAUUUAUAUUAUUAAUUAAAAUUUUAUAAAAUAAUUUUUAAACUAUAUCAAACAUUAGUUAUCAAAUUUUUAGCCACUAACUACUUUAUAUUUUAAAAUAGUUUCUAAUUUUAAAUUAAAAACUAAAUUAUAAUCUAAAAUAGUUAAUAGCUAAAACUUUUAUAAUUAUCUUUGAUACCGAUUUAAAAACUAUUUUAUAUUUUUUAUUAAUAAAAAACUACUUUAAAUAUCAACUAUUUUUUAAUUUAUAAAUUAAUAUCUAAUUUAGUAUUUUUAUUGUCUUUAAAAUUAGUUACUAAAUAUUUUUUUUUUAGUAAUAUGACAAUAUUAGAUCCUACCAUUCCAUAAAUGAUCUUUCAUUAUACCUCAAUCUUCCUCAAACAUGGUUUUGUUGGUGACAUUGUAAAGAGAUGAAUGAAGAAGAAACGUAAGCACAAUGUUGGUCUUGGUAAAGAAUAAUGGGUCAUGGAAGCAUCAUGGUUGUUGCAAGGGAAGUUUAGUUGGAGAAUAAGUUAAGUAUAGUUAUAUUGUGGCACUCGACAUUAAGCUAUAACUUUGUUUAGUUGGAGGGGAGAAAAGGUCAAAAAGUGAGAAUUAUAGAAUUUUAUAAGAUGAUAAUUGUACCUAAACUUGUGUGUUGCCCUUUAUACAAAUUAGGAAAUGCAGAUCUUAAUUAUAUCUGAAAUGAACCCAGAAAAAUUAUUAAGGAAUUAACCAACAUGGAACACAGGGCCAACACUAAUAAAGUAAUUCCACUUUCCAUCGUGAUGCAACAGAUAGCCACAUAACCACCAAUAAAAGAAGAAUGUCACUAACUGGUGGACACAGUUUUGUUUUGUUUUUUUUUUCUCAUGGAAACUCCUUUUUCCUUGCAAUAAAAGUACUGCCAAAUAUAACGCCGUUUGGAUCAAUUAAAGUACCUCGUACCUACAUCAUAUAUAUAAUGUCUCCUUCAUUUUGUAUUUAUAAAUACACACUCCGUAUAAAGUUGUAUUUCUAAUAUUUCUAUAAGCACAUUAUGUUGAAAUCACAUACGUAUUCAAUUCAUAUUAUACUCCAACUUCCCCCAUUUUUACCCUAAAAAGAUAAAUGCGCCUACCCUACAACACAAGAUGUGUCUAUAUUUUAUUAAGGAACUACUUUCUUUGAUAUAAAAUACAUAUGGAUGCAUCUUAAAAUUAGGUUCAAUUACCUAUCUAGCACUAUUUACAUUUUUAUUUUCCCAUCUAACACCUUUUUGUUUUUAUUUUUCUAUCUAACACCCUUUUGUUUUUAUUUUCCUAUCUAUCACCCUUUUGUUUUUAUUUCCCUAUCUAGCACCAUUUCAAAAAUAAAUUAAAAAUAAUUGAUAAUUUUAAUUUUGAAUACAUUAAAAAAUAAAUAUUUUUAUUAUUUAAAAUAGUUAGAAAUAUAAUUAAUGAAUAAAGAAAUAAGUUUUUACAAAAUAAAAAAUAAAAAAGUAAUAAAUUAAAAAUGUUUAGUUUAAAAUUAUUUUUUUUAAGAAUGAAGAAAAUAAAAAAAUUAAACUCUACAAUAACGUAAAAGUUGAAUCUAUAAACAUAAAUUAUUAUUUAUUUUUAUUAUUAUUGAUGAUGUAAUCAUGUUAAUUUCAAGUAAAAAAUACAUAACAUAAUUAUAAAAAAUCUCAAAGUCAAUUAGUAUUAAUUAAUAGUGGACACAAAAAUAAUAUUGAAGUGUCUACCUAAAUGCAAAAUCCUAAAAAAAAAACUAAUGCAAUUAUUACACUUAAUGCUUAAAAUUGAGAAGAAGAAAAAUGAAAAAAUAAAUAUAUAUAAAAAAUAAAAACACCAACAUUGCAACAGGUCUUUCAUGUUACGAAAUACUAUUUAUGGAACUCAAAAAGGAAGAGUAUUGGCCUGCAUACACUGGUCAAAUACUAUGUCCAAGUCCCGACAUGAGAAGAACCUUAAAGGUGAGGCCUAAGUCAAGUCGAAUAAGGAUUGAUAUGGACAUAAAAGAACUACAUGAUCGAACAAAAAAAUGUUCAUAUGGUCAAACACCAGGACACACAAAAAACAUUUGUCCCAACAUUACUGGAUUGUACACUUCUCAUCAUUAAUUAUGUUCCAUUUCGCACAAACUAUUUAAUGUAACAUUGAAGAAAAUAUUAAAUGAAUGAUCAUCUUUCAUUUAUUUUCCUUUUCAUGAUCAACAUAUACUUAUUUAGUAUCGCCUUAUAUCUUUUAUCUUUAUCUUGUUUGGAUUUUUUUUUUAUAUCUUUUAUCUUUAUCUUAUUUUGUUUUGCCUUUAUUUUAUAUCUUUUAAGUUUUUAGUUAUUUUUUUUCUACCAUUCUUUAUUUAUGUAUGUUUUUUAUUUUUAUUUUAUUGUUGCUGUUUUUAUUUUCUAUACUUAUUUAUUUUUGCAUUUUUUCUUCUCAUUUUUAAGCAUUAAGUGUAUCAUUUACAUCAGUUUUUUUUAGGAUUUUACAUUUAGGGUAGAAACUUCAAUAUUAUUUGUGUGUCCACUAUUAAUUAAUAUUAAUUGUAACAUCCCUAAAUUUUUACCCAUAUAUAUAUAUAUAAUAAAAUAAAAGUAAAACAAACACUAUCUACUUAACAUAUGAAUAUAUAUAACUAUCUCAUAAUUGUAUCUAAAACAAAUAUCCCUCUUCAUAGGAAUUUUAAUAUAUACAUCAAAAGUUUUAAAAACAAACAAAACAUUCAAAUUAAAACUAUCACAUCCUCCAGUUGCUCACUUAGGAGCUCUAUUACCUGCAAUCAAUCCCAUUUGCUCCCGUGUACAACACGAUCAUCACAGAUAAAGAACAAACACAAACAAAUAACAGGGUAAGCUAGCUGUAACAAAAUUUUCUAUAUAAUUUAAAUUUCAAAUUAAUACACAAAAUUCAUAAAUUCUCAUACAAUUUCUCAAACAUUUCACAUAACCAUUAAGUGUCUAUCAACAAUUUCAAUAUUCAUUUUUCUCAUAUCAGUCAUCUACUGACUCACAACCCAUAGACACUUGACUCUACUUCCGGAAGACUCGUGUGUUGACUUAGACUCAUAUAUCUGCACCUAUCAUACUAUCUCACUGUUAAAUCCACACAGCUAUGCGCAUAAAUAAUCUCAAUAUCGUCUCUUUCCUAGUAUGACAGGGUUAAUUCAUAUAACAUGUCAAGUUAAUUAUCUUUCAAAUAACUUACUCAUUCAUGUAAACCUCUUUCGACUCUCACUACCUGAAUAACUUCAUCUAUAUGAUUUCAUUAUCUCAGGAGAGUCAGGAUAUCUCCUUCUAGACAAAUCCCUAGUCAAUGCACAUCCUAAACAAUCUUAACACAGUAUUUUCUUUCCUGAAAAUACUAUGUCUUGAUUAAAAUUCAUAUUUUGACUCUCACAAUAUCCAAAUCACACAAUCAAAUCAUACCAAAGUUUAGAAUUUCCAAAUCACACAACAAUUCAUUCACUAAUCAUAUAAAUAUUUUAAACUUUUCUAAACAAUUCAAUUAUAUCUAAAAAUUCACUUAAACACAUAAUUAAGUUCCAAAUAUAUGCUUUCUAAAUCAAUCAUCAUCUAAAAUCAAACAACCACUUCUCAUCAAACAUCUCAUUUAAGUAAUUCAACAAAAUAUUCAAAAAUAGUUCAACUCAUUUAUAUUAUCAUUCAAACAUUUUAAAUUUUCAAACACUGCAAGCAUAAAUUUGAACUGGUGACCACGUCACUCCCACAUCCAGAUCUUCUAACCUAGGGUUCUAUAUAAAAUAUAAAAACUAGCUUCCCUUACCUGGACUUGAGCAGAUGCUCACUAAGAGCUCCAACCCACAAAAAGCUUAAGGAUAACCUAACCUACACCGCAAAGUCCUGAUCACAAAUCUAACUAUAUCACUAGGACCCUGAUCUAACAGAGACUAAUUCUGAAGAUAAAAACCUCACAUGCAAACUUAAACUAAAAGGCACCCUAACCAAAUCAAAACUAACUCAAAGGAAAAUGAGCCAAAAAUGAACUUACUCUAUCUAAGAUUCUAAUCGGGCAAUCUCGUAGAGUUCACUGCCAGGAGUCCAAUGGCAGACUCUGAUCAUCAAACUGAUGAGCGAGCAGGUCAGAAUCUUAGAGAGAAGGGAGAGGAAAGGAAAAAGGGAACAAAAAUGAACUUACUUUAUGAAAGAUUUUGAUCGAGCAGUUUUGUAGAUCUAGCUACCAGGAGUCUAAUGGUGGACUCCGAUCGUCAAACAAAUGAGCGACUCAAAAUCUUAGAGAGAGAUGGUGGUUCUUUUAAAAUGAAACCUAAAUAACUAAUUUUCUAUUUAUAUAGCUUUUUUACUUUAAUAAUAAAAUAUUCAGAUGUCAUUUUAAUUGUAUCAUUUCUACUCUAAGACUAUUUUUCUCGGUCCUUACACUAAUUGACUUUGAUUUUUUUAUAAUUAUGUCCUGUAUUUUUUCCUUGAAAUUAACAUGAUUACAUCAUCAAUAAUAAUGAAAAUAAAUACUAAUUUAUGUUUAUAAAUUCAACUUUUAUGUUGUUGUAGAGUUUAAUUUUUUAUUUUCUUCAUUUAAAAAAAUAAUUUUAAACUAAACAUUUUUAAUUUAUUACUUUUUUAUUUUGUAAAAACUCAUUUCUUUAUUCAUUAAUUAUAUUUCUAAUUAUUUUAAACAUUAAAAAUAUUUAUUUUUUAAUGCAUUCAAAAUUAAAAUUAUAAAAAAAAUAUUUAUUUAUUUAUUUUUUAAAUGGUGUUAGAUAGGAAAAUAAAAAAUAAAAGAGUGCUAGAUAGGAAAAUAAAAACAAAAUUGUGCUAGAUAGGAAAUUGAGCCUAAAAUUAGAGAUGAUACAAUUUACUAAAUCCAUCUAUCUUGAUUUGACUAGUCAUUCAUUCUUUAAAAAGAAGAUGAGAUAAAUAGAUCGCGAGUCAUAACAAAUAUGAUACCUUGAGUUUAUUGGUUGAAAUGAGUUGUUCAAGUUUGUUUGUUAGGGGUACUUAGGAUAGGUAGAAGUCUUUGAUUUUUAUUUUUUAUUUUUCUGUUUGUAUAAGGGUUGAGUUACUCUUUAAGUGAUCCAUAUUUAUUUCUUUUUUUUUGUUAAUACAAAAAAAAAAUCUAAUACCUUUUUCUCAUAUUUUAUUUCAAAAGAAAUAUAUGUAUUAAAACAUACAUGUAAGUAUUUUCGAAGUCUUUAAUUGAAUAAAAGUAAGAUAGUGACAAUACUGGACAAUCCAUUUCAUUUUGAUCUAUGUAUAUUUGAGUUGUUAAAAAUAGGUCGGAACGAGCUAACUAACAUAAGACUUGUGAGAAUAGGUUGAGCUUUUGAUUCCACCUGCAUAAAUUAAAAGAAAUUGAAAUUUUUUGGUAGGAUUUGUUUGAAAUUUUUUAAUUCCAAACUUGAGUAUUUUAUAAAAAUAAAAUAAUUUACUACAAUUAUAACAAUUAUAAAAAAAAAUCUUAAAGAUUAAUUAUUUAUGAUUUACUACAAGUAAAUAAGGAAGGAUACUAUAAAAAAAAUAUUAAAGUGGAUCAUAAAAUAAAAUUUAAAUUUAUACUUAUAAACAUAUGAUAUUGAUGAAAUAAUGACGAAAGUUAUUCAGUCAUAUUCAACACUGAAAUAAUACUACACUAGAAUAAAAGGUUAAAAAAAUUAAUGCAAGUUUGCGAGGCGGACUAGCUCAUACUUUGACUCGCAUGAGUUGCGAGUUAUACGGAGAGAAUCUAUGAAACUUAAGAACUUAAAUGUCUAGUCAAUCUAUAUCUACUCGCAUGACCACUCUCAUAUUAUCAUCCAUAUUAUUAUCUUUAGAUUAUAAAUUUAUAACAUCAUGUAUUAUUAUUGUAAAUUUACUUAUAUCUUGGUGAAUUAAGAAGUAUAAAUAUUCUAAAAUUUUCUUUUCAUGCUUAAUAAAUUAAUUUGCAAGUUAUAAUAUUUCUAUUUGUUUUGAAAAUUAAUAAUUUAAUAUAUAUAUAUAUAUAUAGUUAGUUAGGAGUAUAUUGGGAGGGCAGUGAGAGGUUUAUAUAUAUAUAUAUAUAGUUAGUUAGGAGUAUAUUGGGAGGGCAGUGAGAGGUUUAGAGAGAGAAAGGGAAAGGUAAGGUUGUCUCCAUGGUUGAUACCUCGUUUUUCUUCACUAAUAUUCCGCCUGGUCAUGAAGAAAGGAGCUUUGGAAUAUUUUCCAAAGAUGGGGUAGAGUUCUGGACGUUUUCAUACCCAAAAAACUUAAUUAUAGAAAACAACACUUCGGGUUUGUGAGGUUCAAAGGGGUGAGGGAUGUUUGUGAGUUAGAAAGAAGGUUGGAUGCUAUUUGGAUUGGGUUAUGGAAAUUACGUGUGAACAUAGCCAGAUACCGUAAGAAAGAACAGCCAAAGGAAGCACGUAAUCAGAACCGGAGGGUGGAGGGCUCUAGAAAAGUUUGGAGCUAGAAGGAGAUGCACCGUUCAUUUGCAGAAGUGGUUAUGUCUGGGAGUGCGAGUUUGCCUCAGGGAAAAAAGAGUGAUGGUGAACAGAAGGAGCUCGAAUUUGAUUUGCCUUGUUUUAAGGUGGACGUGGAGCCAUCAUUGUGGCUCGAGAGUUGUUUUAUUGGGAGGUUCUCGGAACUGUCUAAUUUUCAGGCAGUUAAGGAGAGUGUUGUGGUGGGUGGUUAUGGUUCGUUAAGUCUUAGCUAUCUUGGAGAGAAUUUUAUGCUGCUAGCUGGUAAUGGUGAGAUUUCUGUCGCGAAGGUCAUCGAUGAUAACAAAGAGUGGUUUGGGGAUAUCUUUGAUUCUCUUGUCCCAUGGGAUAAUUCUUUCUCCGUCUCUGGUAAAGUUGCUUGGGUUCAAAUUAGGGUUUUACCAUUGAUGUUUUGGAAUAGACAAUGCUUUGAACUUAUUGGGGAGUUAGUAGGAAAGUUUAUUGAGGUGGAUGAGGCGACGGAGGCACGAGAGAUUCUUGAGUUUGCUAGAUUACGGAUCAAGAUUCCAGCGGGCGGGAAUGCAAAUGUGGUAAAAAAUAUUAUUAUUAAUGAUUAUCGGUGUCGGAUAACCUUUGAAGAAGAUACGUGUCAUCGUUUUUCUCAGCUUGGUUGCAGUAAGUGCAUGGAAUGGGGGCAGCUGUUUGAGGGGAGUUCGGAGGCACGCUAUUUAGUCACUGAUGAUGAAGAUGUGGUUGAGUCCGUAUUUUCGGACAUUGGAGGAGAAGAUGAUGGAGCUAAGGGCAACUUAGUUUUAUUAGAAGAUCCAGAGUUGGUAGAUUUUUCUUCUAAAGUUGGUGUAGACCUUAAAGAGGGAGCAAUGCCUGCUUUGGGAAGCCAAAACAAUGAGUGGGAAAGGUUGGGAAGCCAAAACCGUGCAUGGGAAAGAAUGGAGAUGGGCGGCGCAUUUAAAGGGGUCCAAAACCAUGUGUCUGGUGGUGUAAAUGAGGGUAGUUCUAGAAAAGAGGGGGGGUGGUCUGAUGAGUUUUUCUGUGUUGGACCUACUUUGGCCCAAGUACACGUGGUUGGUGGGGCGAAACAGCCAUUGGUUUCAGACCCAUCUGCAGACGUGGCAGACCAUGUAGGUUUCCCUGCAACAUGCAACUUUGGGGUGGGCGGAGAAGUGUAUCCAAGUGGCGUUGCCCUUGGUGGUACGCCAGCCAGCGACGACGCGGUGGCUCCGAUAAUGUCGAAUACUCUGCCUACGGAGAGGUGGUCGAAUAAAGCGGAGAUGAAGGUUGACGACGACACCGUGUUAGUUACGUCAACGAUAACAGUGACGACGCCUCUUGGGCACCUACUGGGUGCGUCGGCGUGUGAUGAGGUGGCAGCGGCGCCCGUUUACAGAGACGAAGGGCUCGAGGUCACCGGCGGAAGAGGUCUAGGUUACAAUGAGCAUUUGGGUGGUUCGCCAGCCGUGGAGGGCUUGUCUGAAGCGGCAGACGGAGGAGAAGUUGACGGUGCUAAUAGGAGUGUCGGGAAGGAGUCAGUAGGGGCGGUUGAGAUGGUGUUUUCGGCGAAGGCAGCAGGUGGAAAAAGACUUAGCAAGACUUUUUCUAAAACUAGCCUUAAGAAUAUGAGAAGGAAAGUUGCUCCGUCUUCGAUGGCGGGUAAAAGGUUAGAAACUGUUGUCUCUUCUAUUUCUGACAAUGAUGUAAGGAACUGUAAUAAUCGUUAUUGGCUGGAAAAUAAGGAAUCGGAAGCCCAAAAAAAUUGGAACAUGGGAAAAGUUUUGGGGUUUUCGUUUGCUGGGAAGGAAGAAGUGGUAGUUAAAAAUUUGCAAGCCUUGGAAGCUCGGGACAGAGAUAACAUGUUGCUCAAAAGGAAGGAGAGUGUAGUGUCUGAUGAUGAAAAUAAUUAGUUUGAAUGUGAGGGGGUUAGGAGGAAGUAACAAAAGAAGAUAUCUAAAGGAGUUGAUUUUCAAAGAACAGGUAGGAAUGGUGUGUAUUCAAGAGACUAAGUGUUCUAAGUUCGGAGAAGAGAAUUGCUUCAAUAUGUGUGGUUCUAUGAAAUAGACUGGAUUGAAAUUGGGGCUAUCAAUAAUGUUGGUGGGAUUAUUACUUUAUGGAGGAGGAGUUGUUUCCAUUUAUUAAGUUAUGUUAAUGGGAAUAAUUUCUAGAUUAUUGAAGGAAUAUAGAAGGGUGGUGAUGGAGUAAGAGUAACUAUUGUGAAUGUUUAUAGCUCAGGUUCUCUGAAGGAAAAGAAAGCGAGUUGGGAUGAGAUUAAUGCUCAUAAAGCGUGUCAGUUAAACAAGAUCUGGUGUGUAAUAGGGGACUUCAACUCAAUCAGAACAAAAGAGGAGAGGAAAAGUUUGGCUAUGGGCUUAAAUUAUAAUAGAGAAAUGCGGGAUUUUAAUGAGUUUAUUGGAAAGGCUGAAUUAAUGGACAUUCCGAUGGUUGGUCGGAAAUUCACGUGGUAUAAACCGAAUGGUACUGCUAAAAGUAGAAUUGAUAGAGUCCUUGUCUCUAAGGAAUGGAUGGAGGAGUGGCCGAACAGUAAGCAGUUUGUACUUAGUAGAUCUGUUUCAGAUCACUGUGCUUUGGUAAUUAAAGAUUCCUGUCCAGAUUGGGGUCCGAAACCUUUUCGCAUUCUGGAUGUCUGGUAAAAAGACAACAAGUUCAGGGAGUUUGUUCGAAGUAAAUGGCUUAGUUAUGAAGUUUACGGUAGGGGUUUGUUUGUAUUCAAAGAAAAAUUGAGAAGCUAAAAUCAGAUUUAAAAGUAUGGAACAGAGACGUGUUCAGAGAUGUUAAUCUGAAAAGGGAGAUUUUAAAAAAGAAAAUUGAGGAUUUUAAUGCUCGAGAUGAUGCUGGUAUCUUAGAUGAGGAAGGCAGAGUGGAGAGGAGGUCUUUGCUAGCAGAACAAAAUGAAAAUGCUUUUAGACAAGAAACAGUUAUUCAUCAGAAAGCUCGCCUUAAAUGGUUAAAAAAUGGUGACCUUAAUUCAAAGUUUUUUCAUUCGACUGUUAAAUGGAGGAGGGCAAGAAACGGAAUUAAUGGACUAGUAGUUGAUGGUCUGUGGAGUGAAGAUAAGGAGGUGGUUAAGGGUAAGGUCAGGAACUUCUUCAAGGCUAGAUUUGAAAGUGUUGUUGGGCUUCAAGUCAAGUUGGAUAAUGUGCCUUUCAAUUCUAUUUCUGCUGCGGAUAAUGAGAUGUUGGUUUGUACUUUCUCCGAAGAGGAAGUCAAGGAGGCUGUUUGGGAUUGUGAAAGCUCGAAAAGUCCUGGUCCGGAUGGAUUUAACUUUGGGCACAUCAAGUUUUGUUGGGAGUUUAUUAGGGAGGAUAUUCUGCUGGCCGUAAACGAUUUUGCUAGAGUCAGAAAAUGGCCUAGGGGGACAAAUGCGUCGUUCGUGUGUCUGGUCCCUAAGCUGGAGAAUCCACAAAGUUUAUGUGAUUUUAGACCUAUUUCUCUGGUUAGAUGUCUAUAUAAGAUCAUAUCGAAGUUGCUAUCUCUGAGGCUUAAAAAGGUGAUGAGUAAAAUCAUUGACUCGAGAAAGUCUGCGUUUCUAGCUGGUAGGGGAAUUUUGGAUAGUGUGUUGGUGGCCAAUGAAGUCUUAGAGGAGGCAAAAAGGAGGAAGAAGAGCUGCUUAUUUUUCAAAGUGGAUUAUGAGAAGGCUUAUGAUUCAGUAAGGUGGGAUUUCAUCAGUUAUAUGCUUGAAAGAUUAGGUUUUUGUGAACAAUGGAUUGCUUGGAUUAAAUCUUGUCUAGAGUCUGCAACGGUAUCUGUGUUGGUUAACGGCAGUCCGACUAAGGAAUUCGUUCCUUCAAAGGGUUUGAGACAGGGUGAUCCUUUGGCUCCGUUUCUUUUCCUUAUUGUAGCUGAAGGUUUAGCAGGAGUGGUAAGGAAUGUUGUCUUGUUUGACUAGGUGGAGAGUGUGGAGGUUGGGAGGAAUAAGGUUAAGGUUAAUAUGCUUCAGUAUGCAGAUGAUACCUUGUUCUUCUGCAAAGCAACAACCAAAAGUGUUUUCUGUUUAAAAUCUAUUCUGACUUGCUUUGAGCUGGCUUAAGGUCUAAAGGUGAACUUUCUAAAGAGUAGCAUUGGAGGUGUGGGGGUUGAUACUUUCACGAUCAAUUGUUUCGCAAAAAUGCUUAACUGUGAAGUGAUGAAUUAUCCUUUCAAGUAUCUUGGGUUGCCUGUUGGGGGAUGUCACAAGAAGGAAGCGUUUUGGGAUGGGGUGGUUGAGAAGAUAAAGGAAAGAUUGGGAAGAUGGAAAGGCAGAUUUAUCUCUAUGGCAGGAAGGAUUUGUCUGAUUAAAUCUGUUCUCUCUGCUAUACCCUUGUUCUAUAUGUCAUUGUUUAAAAUCCCUGCUAUUGUUAUGAAGAAGAUUGUGAAAAUUCAAAGAAAUUUCCUGUGGGGUUGGAGGUCAGGUGGGCGAAAGAUUGCGUGGGCUUCUUGGGAGAAGGUGUGCGAACCCCGUGAAAAUGGUGGUCUCGGAGUUAUUAAUAUUAAAUUUUUCAACAUUGUUUUGUUGGGGAAAUGGAUUUGGAGGUUGGGUUUUUCCAAAGGUGGUCUGUGGAAGGAGGUGGUAGAAUCUAAGUACGGGGGUUGGAGAAAGUUGAAAGGGCCAAGUUCAAAAACGAUGGGGUCUCUUUGGUGGCAGGAGCUAAAGGCGAUUUGGUCGUUGGAGGAAUGGGGGAGAGAGUUCGACGACCGUUUCAAUUGGAAAGUCGGUAAUGGGAAGGAAAGCAGGUUUUGGGAAGAUAAAUGGGUGGGCGAUUUGGAGUUGAAAAACAAAUUCCCGAGGUUAUACUCUCUUUGCAGGGAUAAAGAUGAAUUGUUGGAAUGUUGUGGGGUCUGGGAAGAAGGAGAAUGGAGCUGGAAGUUUGGGUGGAGAAGAAAUUUAUUUGAUUGGGAGAAGUCUCAGGUAGGCCAACUUUUUGAAGAAAUUAGAGGUUUGAGUAUUGAUCCAGAUAUUGAUGACUCGUGGGUUUGGAGGGAUGGUAUGCAUAUUGAUUUCUCGGUUAAAUCGGCUUAUAGUGUUUUAAGGGGACAUAGUGAGGGGAUUUGUCAAAAUUGUACAACUUUUUCUGGAGUAUUAAGGCUUUGCCUGCGGCCGAGGUUCUAGCAUGGAGGGUAUUGAAAAAACAAGAUUGCUACUAAAGUCAACUUGGCACGGCGAGGGGUGAAGACUGACGUUUUAGUUUGCUGUUUUUGCAGGUUGAAGGAGGAAUCUACUAGUCAUUUACUCUUUGACUGUAGAAUUGCCUGGCUCGUUUGGGGUCAAUGUUCUGCGUGGUUAGGAGUGUCGUCGGCUGCUUCCAUUGAUCCUUUCGCUCACUUCUUGCAAUUUUGUAACGUUAUAAAACCGUUUAACUUUGUACUGGGAAGUGUGUGGAUCUCGAUGGUUAAAGAGAUUUGGUGUCAUAGGAACAAGGUUAUUUUUAAAGGAGGUGUGGUGGAUCAUUCUGAAAUCUUCACUUUGGCUCAAUUGAAGGAUUAGUCAUGGGUAACUUCUAAAAUACCCUCUCCUUGCUUCUCCUUUUCUGACUGGUGUCUUGCUCCUUUAUCGUGUUUGAAAUCGAUUUAAUUGGCAUGACCCAGUUUAGGGUGAUAGGUAUCUUUAUUUCGAUGGUUGUUGGUUUUUGUGGGUUGUUGGGUUGGUGGAUAAGAGUUGUUGUUCUUUUUGCCCCUUGUUUUGGUUGCAGUGAGUUUGUUUUGAGUUUGUACGAGUUUGUUUUGAUUAUUGUACGGGAUUAUACGGAUUUUUUAGUGGUAGAAUUUUUUGUCUCUCUCAUUUUGUUGGUUUGGAAGACCUGAGAUUUGAUUCAUAUUAUAUAGGUAUGUAUAAGUGUUGAACCACCCUGGUUCCUGUUAUUCAAAUAAAGUGCACACAACUCAACAAUUAAACAAGAAUGAACCUAAGACUCGUGAUACCACAUGAUGUGAUUCCAAUAGCCACAUAGAACAAGAUUCUUGACAUUUUUAGGAAUCACCUUGAGCUGGAAAAUAUAGAGGCACUUUUCUUAGAGUUGGAUCAUGGUUCUAAGACAAGAACUCACCAAUUACUAGUACCAAAUCCCAAACUCAUUUGGAUGAACCAAAUAUUGUCAAAUUGAAUCAACAAAGGAAUUAAAAAUUGAAAAGACCGAACAGAAAUAAACCAAUACUCAAUUAAACCGAACAGAAUUAAGAAACAAAAAAGAAUAUAGGUGCUGGAAAAAAUGGAAGAGCCGAAACUAAAAACAACUCAAAACACAAGGCAACAUGAACAAUUGAAGAAGAAGAAAGGAAGGAGAAGAGAAUGCUCAUGAAGAUGGAAGGAGGAUGGAUGAUCUCGCCACUAGAAGUGUGGAAUGCUCCUAGAUGAGAGUGAUGCCGCCACUUGAGGACUCCAUGGAUCCAUCAAGAUAAGACUAGAAAAGAAGGCUCCAAAAGCUCUCCAAAGGUCACUCAAAAUUUGAGUAUAGUUUUCUUAGAUUAAUUCCAAUCUGAAUUUUACAAAGGAAGCACCUCUAUUUAUAGCCUAAGGUGCUGAAAAAUAGGUGGGAAAUUUCAAAUAAACUCAUUUGAAAUUCCCACCAAAAACAAGUCACAUGGGAGGUGUGACCUUUUUCUACUAUGACACCUCCCAAAAACUACACCUACACCACUCUCCUAAGUCACAUGGACAAUGUGACUUUAUUUUACAUUUUCACACACCUUUAUUUAAUAACCACACCUCCUAAAACUAUACAAGAGUAUUUCAAAGCUUGGCCUUGCCCCUCAUGGGAUGGACUUGGGCUCUUUGGGCUUUGGCCUUCUUGGGCUUGGGCUUGGGCUUUGGGCUUGGGCUUUGGGCUUGGGCCUCAUCUUUAUUUUAUGUCUUCUUUUAAUUUUGAGAAGACUAGAAGGAAGAACUUCAAAUGUGAGGGUGGAUGUCCUCUUCCUCCAUUAAUAAAAGCCUCCUUUAUUUGAUUCUCAUCAAGUCAUAUGUAUAUAAGUGUGAUAAUUUUUUUAAAUUAUUUUUAAAAAACUAAACAACAAACACAAAUAAAGCGAGAACAAAUGCCAUAACCAUAUGAAUAAAAUUAGAUAAUAAGGAAAAAAAUUAACAAGUAUAUAUGUGUAGUUUAAGUUUUUUAUAAUGAUUGAUCAGAAUAAAUAAGAUUUACUUACUAUAAAAACAAUUGCAUUUAUAUAUAGCAAAUCGACGAUCCAUUCAUGAAUUAUUAUUAUUAAUAUUAUUAUUAUUUCUUCUUCUUCUUCUAAUCGACGAUCCAUUCAUGAAUUAUUAUUAUUAAUAUUAUUAUUAUUUCUUCUUCUUCUUCUUCUUCUUCUUCUUGGUCGGGGAUGUGGAUUGUGUCCAUUCUCCGACGUUGGUGAGAGAAGACGCUGGGUGUGUGAGGUGUCGUCCUCCUUUUACAUCGAUGCCUCCGUUGCUGAGUUUCUGGACGAGGUUCCUGUCUUGAAGGCUUCGGCUUAGCAAUCCUUGUUGGCGUUCGAUCCUUGUUCUUUGGAGGAUCGUGUGUAUAGGGAGCAAUCAUCUACCGAGCCUCCCUUUUUCUUCAUGUAUGGUUAUCUUUUUGCGGACCUGCAUGUGUCUCUCCCCUUUGAUGCCUUUACGGUCGGGGUUUUGAAGGAGCUCAACGUGGCUCCGACCCAGCUUCAUCCCAACUCGUGGACGUCUAUGCAAGCGUUCCGCAUUGUUUGCCGGACGUUUGGGUUGCGCCCUCUCCCCUCUUGCUUUCUUCACUUCUAUUCGUCGUACACGGCUAAGCUUGCCAGUUGGCAAUCGCUGGUCAGCCGGGGGGGUAGCGUGUUGUUCAAGCCCUUCACGACCUCUUAUAAGAACUUUAAAGAAAAGUUCUUUAAAGUGUACGUGGAGUUGGCCGGGACGCGUUAUUUUUUUGACGAGGUCGGCCAGUCUCGUUUCCCACUUUUUUGGUCGAGGAGUCCGACGAACAUAACGGAUUGGCCGAGGCCGACACAUCCGAGCGAGCAUGAGUGGCUCGUUUUUGCUUUGUUUGAUAGUCUCCCCAGGAAGCUCCCCGCCCGACCGCUCAUGUCGCUGUACAAUUUGACUGAUCGCGCGGAGGCUUUUGAGGGUAUGCUAUUUUCAUGCACUUAGUUAUUACUUGUUGUGUUUUGUUCUAACCGAUCGUUUCUUGUUGUUUGAUUUGCAGAAAUCGCGAAGAGAGAAAUCCCUCAAGCCGUCGGGAUGUUACACUCGUUCAAAACCAAAUUGAACGAGAAGAGGGGGGCCACCAGCGCCAAGCCCCGCGCAGAGGAGGGUGCCCGGGCGGGGCCCUCAAAGAAACGUGGCCGCGAGGGCGGCAACAUUGCCCGCACCGUGUGGGAGGCAGGACAGAUGCCAACUCCUCCUCCUAGCCGGUCGGGUAGGAAUGCUUCCCCUCCCACUGAUGACUUCAACCGCCCGAUCCCAACGGCGGUGGCGAUGCCCAUGCCGGCCUCUGGGGGGUCGGCCCUGGCUUUGUUGGGGGGCGACCGAUCCUUCAGCCGGGUCGUAUCCUUUAGGUUGCCCCCAGGCCUUGAGGGGGGGAGAUCAAGUCAAUCCCCGAGGGCGAUCUUCUCAAUGGCGGCAUUGAGAUGAUAUGCCAAGGUCUGGUGCUGGCCAGGCGGGGGGGCAGACGCUCGGAAGGGCCGAGUGGAGGAACUUUCCCGCCUCGAGCAUGAGCUGCAAGAGGCGGGCCAAAAUCUGAAGUAGGCCGUGGAGGCCAACACAACCUAUGAAAAACAGUUGUGUGCUCAAGCUGCCGAACUGGAGCUGCGUCAGAACUGGCUGGCCGAGCUGGAGAAGGUCGAUGCGGAGAAAGCCGCGGAGGUUGCUCGUCUCCGCAAGGCAUUGGAAGCGGCCGACCAUCGGGUCACCUUGAUGGGAGAAGAGGUCGCGGCCGAGCGCGAGGGGAAAAAGGCGGUCGAGGCCGAGGUUUUGAAGACCAUGGAAGAUACCAUGGUUCUGAUCAACCAGAGCUUCGAUCUGGCCGUCCGCCAGGCCCCGGUACUCUAUGGUGGUCCUCCUCCUUCCGGUCAAUUUGACCAAGACAUGGAGGUCAUCGAUGGCCGCUUGGUCCCUGUGGAGGCCGGCCAGCUUGCUGAGGAAGCCGAUCCCGCCAGUGUUGUUUUGAAUAUUGUAGACUAGGCAGUUUGACUUUUGGAUUUUGAACCCUUGGGGUCGGGGUGUGGCCCCCACCUCUUUUUGAUUAAUAUAAGUGUUUUUUCCAAUUGUUUCUGCAUUUUCUGGACGAACGAGCCUUUACGAGCCGAGUGGGCUGGAAUAAUUAACCUUAAAUUGUGGUAAAGUUAACUAAGUAAAAAGAACUAAGUAAUCGGUCGGUAGAUGGAAUCAACUGAGUGACUAAUAAUUAAAAUCAACCAAGUGAUUGUAACGGACUUCGAUCAGUCGAUCGUUCUUUAGCGAAUUCGAUUUAGACGAAUUUUAUUGGAUGUUUAGGUGAACCGGGGCUCUUUGCCGAACGUUAUGUGUGCGCCGAGAGAAUAUGCUGGUUAAGGCUACGUUCUGGCCGAGGUGGGUACAGGUUCGGGAGGGUAUGCCGUUUGGGGCUACAUCCUGGCCGAACCGUGUGUGUUACGGGAGGGUAUGCCGGUUAAGGCUUCAUCCUGGCCGAACCGUGUGGGUUACGGGAGGGUAUGCCGGUUAGGGCUACAUCCUGGCCGAACCAUGUGUGUUACGGGAGGGUAUGCCGGUUGAGGCUACAUCCUGGCCGAACCGUUCGUGUUACGGGAGGGUAUGCCGGUUGAGGCUACAUCCUGGCUGAACCGUUCGUGUCAUUCAUUAUAUACACUUAUGUACGAAACACCUCGUUAAAACAUCUCCGACCGAUGGAUCGGUCAGGCGAGGAAAGAGUGCGUGUAUUUUAUUCAUGUUUAGCUGAAAUAAAACUUUAGGUGUGUGGCAUUCCACGUCCUAGGUACAAUUUUUCCCGAUAGAUGUUCCAAGUGAUAAGCCCCCCCUUCUCCUACUUCUCGGAUUCGGAACGGUCCUUCCCAAUUUGAUGAGAACUUGUCGUCCGACUUCCUAGCGUUGCUGCACAUUCUCCAGACGAGGUCGCCUUGUUGAAAGCUUCUGGGCUGGACCUUUGAGUUGUAUCUCCUUGACACUCGGAGCUUGCAUGCCGCUUCUCGUAUCUUGCUUUUAUCUCGGAGCUCGUUCAAGAGGUCGAGGCCAACCGCCAGACUUUCCUUGUUGAGGGAUACGUCGAAGAGUUGGCGUCGGAUGGAUGGCUCCCCGACUUCUACUGGUAUCAUGGCCUCGGUGCCGUACGUGAGGCUGUAAGGGGUUUCUUGUGUGGUGGAUUGCGGGGUGCAACGGUAUGCCCACAAGACCUCGGGCAGCUCCUCCGUCCAUCUUCCCUUGGCAGUGUCGAGCCUCUUCCUUAGUUCGUUCAACAAGACCUUGUUGGCCGCCUCGGCUUGUCCGUUCGUUUGUGGGUGCUCGACAGAGCUUGUGAGGGAUUUGAUGCCAAGGUCGUUGUAGAAUGUCAUGAGGCCUUGGUCGAUGAACUACCGGCCGUUAUCGGAGACUAUUGAGUGUGGUAUGCCGAAUCGGCACACUAUGUUUUCCCACACGAAAUUCUGGACGUUUCGAGCGGUGAUUGUGGCUAGUGGUUCGGCCUCUAUCCACUUGGUGAAGUAGUCUACCGCGACCAGCAGGUGCUUCGUUUGGCCUUUGCCUGGUGAGAAUGGGCCGAUGAUGUCCAUCCCCCACAUGGCGAACGGCCCGGGUGAUGUCAUGCUGUGCAGUUCUUCUGGUUUUCGGUGGUGGAGGGGGCCAAACUCUUGGCAUUUUUGGCAUUUCUUGACGUAAUUAGCGCUAUCUCCAUGGACGGUCGGCCAGUAGUACCCCGCACGGAUUAUCUUGGCCGCCAUCGUUCGGGCUCCGGAGUGGCUCCCGCACGCCCCUUCGUGGAUUUCUUGUAGCUCGUAUUGGGAUUGUUCCUUGGUGAGGCACUUUAGGAGUGGUGUUGAGUACCCCCUACGGUAUAGGUCUUGGCCGAUCAUGGUGUAUCGUGCGCACUGCCGUCUGAUACUCUUCUCUUCCCCCGGUUGGCAUGUUCCGUGUUCCAAGUACUGGGUGAUCGGGGUCAUCCAUGUGUUGGUCUCGGUGACUGUCAUGCAUUCGGCAUCACCUACGCUCGGCUGUGCCAGUCGCACUUGGACGACCGAUCGGUGGUGGCUUUGUUUUUUCGAGGAUGCAAGUCGCGAGAGUGCAUCGGCACACUCGUUUUCCUGUCGUGGUAUGUGUUGAACCGCCACUGUGUCGAAUUUGGCCAUGACGUUACGGACGGUGUGGUAAUAUCGUUGGAGGAGGGGCUCCUUGACCUCGAAUUCUCCAUUGAUUUGACCGACGACCAGUUGGGAGUCACUCUUGCAUGUGACCUCCCGCGCGCCUAGGUCAUUUGCUUAGUUGAGGCCGGCCAGUAUGGCCUCGUAUUCUGCUUGGUUGUUCGUUGCUUUGAAGGAGAGCUAGAGGGCUUGUUCAAUCAGUAAGUCCCCAGGCCCCUCGAGGACGACCCCGGCUCCACAAGCCGUUUUGUUGGACGAGCCGUCCACGUAGAGGACCCAUUUGGCCGAGGUUUCUGUGUUUCUGGGGAGCUCGGUUGCGAAAUCUGCCUAGCAUUGGGAUUUAAUGGCACCCCUUGGUUCGUACUUGAUGUCGAACUCUGAAAGUUCGACCGACCACCCUAUCAUCCGUCCUGCAAGGUCGGGUUUAGAUAAAAUUUUGUAUAUAGGAUAGUUGGUCCUUACCCUGAUUUCGUGAUUCUAGAAGUAUGGGCGCAUCCUCCUCGCUGUCAGCACCAGGGCUAGUGCCACUUUUUCUAUCAUUUGGUACCUGGUCUCGGCUGCAUGGAGCGUCCGGCUGACGAAGUACACUGGGUGUUCUUCGUGGUCCACUUCUUGGACAAGGGCGGCGCUGACCGCUUCCUCCGAUACCGCAAGGUAGACCACGAUGGGUAGGUCCAGAUGGGGCUUUUUGAUGACGGCCGGUGACGACAGGAAUUCUUUGAGUUGGCCAAAGAUUUGUUCGCACUCCUCGUUCCAACUAAAUUUCGAAGUUUUGCGGUGCAUUGUGGCUAUCGGCCUGAUCCGUUCGGCGAGGCAGAGGAUGAAUCUGGAAAGUGCUGUCAGCCGACCGAGUAGCUGUUGAAUUUCCUUCAAGUUUUUCGGGCUUCUCAUUUUUGUCAUGGCCUUGCACUUGUCAGGGUUUGCUUCGAUCCCUCUGUGGGUCAGCAUAAAGCCGAGGAACUUGCCACCUUCUACGCCGAACGCACACUUCUCGGGGUUAAGGCGCAUGUUGACCCUUCUUAGGGCGUCGAAAGCUUCUUGUAGGUCCUUUAUGUGUUGGCCGCACGAGUCGGACUUCACCACGAUGUCGUCAACGUACACCUCUACACUUCUAUCGAUCAUCCCUUUGAAAAUCUUGUCCAUGAGCCUCUGGUAGGUAGCCAUGGCGUGUUUUAGGCCGAACGACAUUACCUUGUAGAAGUAGUUUGUGUCGUCCAUCGUGAAAGCCAUUUUGCCUCUAUCGCUAUGGUGCAUGCUAAUCUGGUUGUAGCUGGAAUAGGCGUCUAAGAAGCUCAAUAUUUUGUGACCGGCCGCUCCGUCUACGAGCCGGUCGAUGUUGGGAAGGGGAUAUGAGUCUUUGGGGCACGCCUUGUUGAGAUCUUUAUAAUCUACACACAUCCGCCAUUUGCCGCUUGACUUUUUGACCAUCACAACGUUGGUCAGCCAAGUGGAGUAUCGUGCCUCGGCUAUAAAGUCGGCUUUUAGGAGCUUCUCGGCCUCACUUCUGGCGGUCAGCCGCUUGUCCUCUCCAUAGUUUCUUUUCUUUUGUGCUACUGGGCGCGCUUCUUUAUACACCGAAAGGCGAUGGGUGAUGAUGUCCGGAUGGACGCCCGGUACGUCGGUAGUCGUCUAGGCAAAGAGGUCGACGUUCCUCUUGAGAGUUUGGUGAACGAAGUCCGCAUCGGCGGCGACCAUUGCCGUGCCUAUGCUCGUAUACCGGUCCUCCCCGUCAAGUUCGGCUUGGCGUAGCUCGUCCUUGGCUUCGAGUCUUGGCUCGAUUUCCCUGGGAUCCAGAUCUGCCAUGGUGAUGCCCUUCUUUGGUUGGGGUGAGUGCCGGUGGGGGCUUUUCCUGCGGCCGGCGAUCUUUCGCUUGGGUGAACAGCUGCCACUGGGCCUCUGUUGUGUAGGUUCGACUCGCAGGCUUUCGGCGUAGCACUCUCGGGCGACCUUUUGAUCUACGUGGAUCGUCAGGAUGUCGCCUGAGAGGGAAGGGAAUUUCAUUGCUAGGUGGGGCGUGGAGACGAUUGCUCCAAGCUUGUUAAGGGAGGACCUGCCGAGGAGGAUGUUGUAGGACGUGUUGGCGUUUAUGACCAGGUAUCUGAUCUUGAGGGUUUUGCUAGCCCCUUCCAGACCGAACGUUGUGUAUAGCUCUAUGUAACCCCUCGUUCCUACGCGUUCCCCCGAGAAGCCGACCACGUGGUCGUUGUAGGGCAUCAUUUCCUUCUCCGGGAUUCUCAUGGCUUUGAAGGUCUUCCAGUAUAAUAUGUCGACCGAGCUUCCUUGGUCCACAAGGGUCUUCUUGAUCGUAAAGUUAUCGAUAUCGACCGAUAUCACCAUGGGGUCGUCCUGUGUCGGGUCUAUCCCCUUGAAAUCUUCGUCUGUGAAUGUGAUUGGUGGCAUCCUCGGCCGGGCGGAGACGAGGUUUACUUGGUGGAUGGCACGUAGGUGCUUCUUGCGUGCGCUGUUGGAACUGCCUCCGCCACCGAACCCUCCGGCUAUGGUGUUAAUUACCUCUCGGCCCCUGCGAGUGUCGGCUUGUGGGGGGUCGUCCCUUCGUCCCCGUCGGUCUCCACGCCUGUCACCCUCUCGUGGGCCUGGGGGGGUUCAGUCUCUUCUCCUAGGCGUUUGCUCCUUGCAUGGGGAGCGACGCGUCUCCCGGAUCCCACGCACAAAGCGUUUGAGAUGCCCGGCUUGUAUGAGUUCUUCGAUCUUAUCUUUCAGGGCUUGGCACUCUUCGAUAGAGUGGCCGGUAUUCUUGUGGUACCGGCACCUUUUGCUGCGGUAGGCAUUUUCUGGGCUUAGGGCCCUUCGGGGCGGUGGUAUUAGCUCGGCGCUCAGGGCCUCUUGCAAAAUUUUGCUCCUUUCCGCGUUCAGAGGUGUGUAGCGGGAGAAGCGGGGUCCACGAUUGUCCCUUUUUUGGUCUCGGCCAACUCGUGACCUUCCUUGCCGUUCCUAUCCUCUUUCUUUUCCCCGCUCGCCUCGGCCCGGGCGUUGUUCCUGAACUCGCGAAGUUCCUCGAGCUGCAUGAAUUUCGCCGCUCGGCGUCUAAGGUCAUCAAGGUUGGUAGCAGGCUGCAUACACAGGCUAUCGGCAAAAGGACCGGGUCUGAGGGCGGUCAGCAUGUGGUGCAUCGCCACCUCGGGGCUAAGGUUGCGAAUGCUCAUAGCGGUUUUGCUAAACCGGUCAAUGAACGUUCUGAGGGACUCUCCCUUCUCUUGACGAAUGCCGACCAGUGUUAUGGAUGUUAGAUGGUGGGGGCGGCUUGUUGCGAACUGGACAUCGAAUUUCGCUAUUAGGGUUUCGAAACAAUCUAUAGAGUGUGCUGGGAGCUUGGUGAACCAGCUCAGAGCGCUGCCCUUUAGAGAGGUUGGGAAGACUCGGCAAAACACUGCGUCGUCCGUGGUAUACAAGCUCAUAUGGGUCGUGUAUGCGUCCACGUGCUCAUCUGGGUCGGUCGUCCCAUCGUAUCGAUCCCUGUUGAAGCCUUUCCAUUUGUCCGGCAGGGGGUGUCCAUGACACGGUCGAUGAAGGGAUGGCGCCGGUCCGGACCCGCCGGAGCGGUAGUGUUGAUUGUCUUGCUGGGAUGGGACUCUCCAUCCAUUUCCAGAGUGAAGUCGUUUUUGGUGUCUUUCUCGGCCUGGAGGCCGGCACCGGUGGCGUGGGACCUGCCGGCCUGAUUGGUCAUGGCGAGGGACGGCACCCCCUCGACCAGCUUCUUCAUUCGCUUGUUCUCUUCUUGGAGGCUUUUGAUUUCCUCCUCGUUCUUCUUAGCGGCUUCCUCGUGCGCCUUCCUCAUCUCUGCUAGCUCCCUCUGAAGGGCCAUCAUCAUUGUUGUUUGGUCUGCUUCGGUCAUGCUUGCCAUGCUGCGGUUGAUACCAUCUACUGCUGUGGUUUUUGCUGGCUCUCCUCGGCCCCACGGUGGGAGCCAAUUGUUCUCGAACUAGAUUGGGGACUGGGAGAACUAUUGUCUUCAGAUGUCACUCGGUCGGUCGUAUCUCACGUUCCUCCUUCGGUCUUCCUCGCCGAAUGGCUCCUCAGACUGGUAGGGUACCUGCAGAUGGCACUCCAACGCUCAAGUCAGUGGGGUAUCGUAUUCGGCUGGUUAGAAUACUGUAGAUAAUGACGUACCUUCUUCCUUGGAAUGCGUGAUAUUUAUAUUACCUUGAUGGGCCCUUGCUGUUGGGCCGGAUUAGGGGGUUGUUUAGCGAUUAUGGUUGGAUUAGGUCGUUUCCUAACCAUAGGUUAACCUUUGCUAAUUGGGUCAACCUUUGACUUGAGCACCUUGUGUCGGUCGGCAACGCAUGACACGUGGUCGACCUCGUACCUUAAAAUAGGGUCUUAACGCAUGGAUUGACCGGGUCCAUGCACCGGUGAUCAUCUCGAUACAUUAUUAAAUCGUAAAUAAUAAUUUGUAUGUCUUGUUGAACGGAUUUAUAUGAGAAUAUUAAUUUAUAUAUAAUACUUAAUUUAUUUACUAAUAUAAAUUCGUUGAUAAUUCACUUUCAAAUUUAUAUUCAUAGAUAAUAACAAUAUUAAUAAUAAUAAUAAUAUUAUUAUUAUUAUUGAAUUUAUUUAUAAAUAAAUAUUUGUGAGUAAUUAUUUAUGAAUUUAUAUUCAUAGGUAAUAAUUCAUAUAUAAUAUAUAAUUUACCUAGUAGGUAAUAAUUGAUAUGUAGUGUUGAAAUUACCCAUAUGUAUCCGAUUGUUUAAUAAUAAUUAGGUAAUUUUUAUUUAUUUAUUUAAUAUUAAAAAUUUAUAAAAAAGUAUUUCAUAUUUUUCAAACCUUUACUUAUUUAAAUCUUUAAAGUGAAACCUCCAUCUGCAAUUAAAUUUAAAUCUAUACAUGUAUUGUUAAAUAUUGAUUACUGUGCUGGUAAGGCCCACUGACACAUAUGACGUGGCUUGGUCUCCUUGGUCGAGCUGAUCGAGACACACGUUGACGUGUCUCAGUCUUCCUGAUUGAGUUGAUCGAGACACCACGCACGAUUAGACUGACCGAUACAUAUAACCAUUAACGCUCAAACCAAGGUCAGUGAAGCUAAACUACCAUUAAGAAUUAGGUAAUGCAACCAUAAGUAUGAUCCAUUUCACUAAUCAGACCCAAUCAGAUAAGCCCAUUAAAAUAAUAUAAAUAACACACAUUCCAAUGAACAAGGUACGUCAUUUAUUAUUGUACACCUAUCCGGGUACCAAACACCCUUUACUGACUUGAGUGUCGGAGGGUCUUCUGCAGGUACCUCCCUCAUUUGGCAUUCACCAAUACCGAGAGCCGAAGGAGUAGCACGAAGGCGAAAAGGAUCCUAGUGAAGCCCUAGCAACCUGUCCGACCGAAAGAGAAAGACGAAGACUUCAAUAGUUAUAUAGGUCUCAUCUCCCUAGCAGAAACAAUUACUUAAUUCACAAUUUGAAGUAAGGACAAUUGAUUAAUUUUUAUGAUUUAAAUGAACUUACACACAAAAAAUAUAUAUAUAUAUAUAUAUUAUAAUUCAAUAUAAUACAUAACAUAAUGUAGAAUUUCAAUAUAUAAUUGUAAGAAAAUAUCAAUUGUAAAAAGUGUAUAAUAAAUCACUAACGUGAGAUUAGGAAAAUUUUACUGUAAAAAAUGAUAUAACAUAAUAAGGAUUGAAAAUUUUUAAACUCAUUAAGUUUCUUAAAAACUUAGUUUGGAAUUUUUUAAAGGAAGUUGCUUAAAAGAUAAAAUAUAGAUAAGGAACUAAAAUUCUUACUCUCUAUUGAGACUUCAUCUUUAUUUGUUCUCUUAAACAUGAAUUUCUUAAACAUGAAUUUUGUGACUAGAAGAUUUUCAUCAAACACCCCAAUCUCAUUUGAAAAUACAUAGAAAAAAUUACAAAUUAUCCACUAAGAUUAAGUAAUGUUAAUAUAGAAGAAGUGAUUUCUUUUUUAAAUUCUUGAAAACUAUUCAAACAUAUAAAAUAAGUGUUGAAAAUUCUUAGAAUAAAUAAAAAUAUGAAUUCAUUAUUAUUAUUAUUUAAUUUUAAUUUUAUAAUCUAAAUGUUAUCGUGACAAAAUCAAGUUGAAACAUAAAAAAUUUAAUUGUACAGAUUUUUUUUUAAUAAACAUAAUUUAUUUGUACAUAUAUCAGGAUUGUAGACUAAUAAUGUAAGAACGUAAAAAAAAUAAGAACAUGUAGAACCCUCCUCCCUUACACCACAAUACAUUUUUCUUCUAUCUUUCUCUCUCUAACUCUCUUCUACUCUCUUCCUUCUCUCUUAUAACUAAUCUAUUUUUUAACUCUAAUCACGCCAUAUGUAGCUCAAAUAAUUAAUUUUUUUUUUAAAUCUAAUCACGUCAUAUGUAGCUCAGGAGUCAGAGUACAUUUCUAUUUGAUCAGAUUUUAAAAAAAAGUAAGAUCCCUUAUUCUCUGUUUUUCUCUAAGAUUUAAUCAUCAAUCUUAGUGGGGUCAGUUGAGAAAAGUAAUCAUUGCAACUUAUUCUAUUAUAUACUGAAUUUCUAUUCUAUUUGGAUAACUUGCAUUAAGCCCUUAUAUUCUGAAGCUUAUCCACGAGGCUAAAAUCCUAGAAGUUGCUUGGAAAACAAGCAAUUAAGGUAACAAAAACUUUUAAUAGCACCAUAGAUUAAAAGAUCUGGAUGUGGAGGGGACGUAGUCCCAAUAUUCAAUUUUUCUUGUAGGGGUGUUGUGUGUUUAUAUAUUGUGUUGUUUGUUUAUAUAUUAUUUAAAAUUGUAAAAAUAUUAUAUUUUGAUGGUUUAGUAUUGAAGUGUUUUUUUUAUGCUAAAUAGACUUUUUGAAUGUAGUGGAUCGUGUUUGAAAUGAUAUUGUAUGGUGAAAAUGGUAUGAAAUUAAAUCCAUACAUUUGGGAUAAUGUAUGGACUGAUGUUUGUUAUAUAUUAAAUAUUGAUGUCUAUGUGGUAACAGAGAUCUCUGAGCUUCAUUGUUGAUCUAAGUCACAUAGACUAAGAUAUUAGGUGGUGAGAAGCUGAUGGGGGAGUUUAUGCACACCGUGACAUAUGAGAUGCACGACUUGUGUUGUAUUGAACUUACCCUGAUCCUUUCUCUUAGAUUUACUGAUAAUCUUUGAAUCAGGUGUUAGUUUUUUGUAGGACUUACUUAAUACGGGUCUUCCGGAAGACAUUGUUAUUUUGUUUGUUAAAUAUCCUGGAUGUGUAGAUCUAUGUGAUGAUUUUAUGUUGCGAUUUGAAGAAUAUUGAAUAAUUCGAAAAUUGUUUUCAUGUAAUUUUUCUCUUUUGAUUUAGUUGUGUAUAUUAUAAAAUUUUAUUUUCACUAGUUUAUCAUUGUUGCUUUUUUUAUUGUAUUUGAACUGCGAUGUUUAUACUAUGUACACCAUACAAGUGCAGGAGAGUCUGAAAGGCUUUAAAGUUUUGUUUUGAACUAUGAAUUGUAAAUAUAUUUGUAUUUUUAUAAGUCAUAAUCAUGUAUUAGGAAUGUUUUGAAAAACUCUAAGCUUGUAUAUAAAAAUGUAGAACUUGUAUUGUAAUAAUUAGAUGUAUUUUUGGGUGUUACAAAUAAUAUCUUGCAUAAUUUUAAAAGAAAAUUAAGUUAGCAUAAAAAAUUAAUACAUAAAUACGAAUGUAAUAUGUCAUCUUAUUAAUGUAAUUUGAUUUGUUCGAAAUGAACUUAAUUAAUGCUUUGGAUCAAUAUAUUUUAUUUGUGUUGAUUGAGGUGUGCUUUUGAAAAACCCUGGACUCGAUAUUAUUUUGUUUCGAUGCGUUAUCCAUAGAUGUUUUAUCGAUCCAAUACCACUAAAAAGACCAACCCCAGAAAUUAAAAAUAAAUAAAUCAAAAUAUAAAGUUUUUUUUAUAGGUUUUUAUAAAUGUGAAAACAAUCUCUAUCAAAAUUUCCACUUAAUAAAAUUAUGAUUAUGAGUGAAAAAACGAAUUAGUUUGAACCAUUUGUUUUGACUAUUGUUGAUCCGUCAAAAAUAUGCCUUGAUCUGAUUGUCAAAAGAUGGAUUAAUAGGUUAGUUCGCCAGUUUUUUUUUAUUUUUUUUAUUUUAAUAUAUAUUUUAAAAAUACACCUAAUUGUAUAAAUAUUUUUAAAACGUUUAAUUGAUUAAUUAAUAUUUUAAAUUAAAUAAACUAAAAAAAAUAUUACUUUUACAUAAAUUAUUUCAUUAUAAUUAGUAGUUGAAACUUAACUAGUAAUGGUUAACGAUUUAAAUUACAUAUUUACGUCCUUGGGAUAAUAUAAUAUAAUAACAAAAAAUUAUUUUUUACUUUAAUUUUUAAUUACAAAAAUAGAUAAGAGUCAACUCGUUCUUUCUCAUCUCUAUGCGCAUAUUUAACAUAAUAGCAAAAUGGGUCAAAACAUAUUCAUAGGUUAAAAAUACCAACUUGACUCACUAAAUUAUGCCAAACUGACAAGUAGAUUUGUCCAAGUUGAUGAAUUUUAUGAUGCCUAAUCAUGAUAAAUAAGUAAUUUUAUUAAUAAGUAUAUUUUUUACCUUUUUAACAUGAAAGUUUAUCCUUUAUAAAUUACCCAAUGCAAUUACAAAUUUCAAUGGAAACGGUAAAAUACCAAUAAAUCAAAAUUGAAAAAACAAUAGAAUUUUAUAUUUGAUUUUGAAAAUAGAUUGAAUCCAAUCAAUAUCUCUUUCUCUCACAAAUGUCCUAAUGAAAAUUGUGAGGCUUGAUUCUAAAAAGGAAUGGAGAGCAAUAUGGUAUCCAUUAAAAUGGAUUGAUUCAAAUUUAAAUGUAUGUGAUAUGGAACAAAGAGAAUGCUCGUGGAUUGGGGAUUAAUUAGAGUCUCGGUUCUAUCAGUGGAUUGACCGACCUAAGGCCCAAUCUCAGUAGGCCGAUCAAUGGUAUAAAUCUUAUCACACUUAAGCAGAAUCAACAAAUCUAAUCCGCGGUUAGCAGCUAGGUAAUGCAACCCUAAACGUGAACCAACUCCUUAACCUGACUCAAUAAGGAAAGCCCAUUACAGGUAAUAUAAUUAGCACACAUUUCAAGGAGCAGGUACGUCAUUAAUUACUGUACUUCUCCAACGUCCUUUACUGACUUAAGCGUCAGAGUGUCUUCUGCAGGUACCCCCAUUCGGCAUUCUCCUCAGAGACUGAGCAAUCAGGCGGUCGAGACUUAAAAGAGUAGCACGAAGACUAAAGGAGUAGGCUGAAGUGCGAGCUAACCGACUGAUAGGAGGAAGGAAGACUAAGCCAAUGAACAGUUCUUUAGGUCCCAUCUCCCUAAUAGGAACAUUGAACUUUAAAUUAAGUCGAUUACAUGAAGAAUUAAGAAAAAUAAAAUGAUUUGAUAAGAUGGGGUAAUUUUUCUUUUCAAAAUAAGUUGAAAUUAUUUUUUGAUAUUUCUUCCGUAAUAUUAUUCAUAUUAAUUUUAGCAUACACAAUUUGAAUAAAUAAUGAAUCUUUCUUUAAUUCGUCUUUCCUAUAAAUAGGAUAGUUGGGUAAUUCAUUUUUAUAAAACUUUUAUUUCUGUAUUAUUAUUUUAUCUAAGAUAAUUAUAUUGUUAAUAUGAAAGAAGCAACAAAAACUUGACGAAGAAAUCUGAAAUUUUAUCUAAAAGGUUGACGAAAUUUUAUCCGAUUAUUUGUGUGAAUGAGUAAGUCUAAGUUUAUUUAUUCUUAAAAUUUUAUAUGGAAAGAAUUUCUAUUUUUUAGAAGAUUUUUCUAAUUGAAUUAUGUUCAUGGGUAAUGUUGCCGAUGAUUUUGAGAUAAAGGAGAGUUAAGGUUUGGGUCACAACAUUCCUAUUUGAGGAAAUGAGCCAACAAAAUUCAAGUUAGGAAAGUUAACAUUUAAAGACAAUAACAAAGAUGCAUGAUACGCAAUUGUCAUAGUGAUUAUAACAUGUUAUGUUUGUUUGAAACCUUGUUUUUGUAUUAUUUUAGAUAUUUAAGUCAUUGUUUGGUUGGUUGUUGAUGAUCUGAAGGGUGAGAAACUUGCUUGUUGAGGGUGAAAAUGGAGGUUUCCUCCAUGAAAAGGUUUGCUUUGAGCCUAUUUUUUUUUAAACGAGAGUGUGAUGAUGUUUAUAUGACACAAAGUGGUGCAAUUUUCGCUGAAGCGAAAGUAUAACGAUGUUGAUGUGACUUAAAGCAAGCGAUAAAUUUUCCGCUCAAGUGGAAAAUGCUCCAAAAAAAAGUUUUUCUUAGAUCUAUUUUAGCUCAAAUGGAAUUUUUUUAACUUAGGCACACAAAAAUUCGCUAAAGUGAAAAUAGUCCAGUGGAAAGAGAAUCAGUUUAGGUUAAAUUUUGCUGAAACGAAAAUCAACUAGAAUUGUUGGACAUUUAUGAACCUCUUUGAAGUAAAAUUGAGUAGUUAUGCACAUGUUCUUUGAGGUAAGCAAUAUGAGGCUGAGUAGAGUCAGAAAUUGGUGUCCAUAAUCUAUUACUUGUGUGUGAGACCGAGUAGAGUGAGAAAUUGGUGCCCGUAAUCUACUGAAAUUUGUUGAUGAUUUGUUUGGUAAUCUACCAAUGAUGACUAAUUUUUUUUUAUCAAACCACUCAUAAUUAUUGGUAUAAUUAUUAAGAAUAGUUUAAUUUUUUAGAAACAAAAUACUAUUAAUAAAAAUAGCUCAUUUAAAGAGAUUACCUCCUCCUCAUUGCCUUUUCUACUUGGGAAUGUAAUGUUUACCCUCUAAUUUGUAUCAUAUUGAAAUGCACAAUACUAUAUUUUAAUAUAACAUUUUAUUACUAAAUACAAAAAAUUAUUAUUAUCAAAAUAAUAUUAAUAGUGUUCAUCAAGGAAGUAUCCUUACAAAUGUUAACCACUAAAUAAUAUUAAAUAAUCAUUAUAAAUUUUAACUAAUUUUUUUUUCACAUCUUAAAUAAAGUAGAGUGCCAUUGCUAAAAAGUUUUAACAAAUGUUAAUAAAAAAUGGUUCUCACCUAAAUAAGAAAUAAAUCAUUUUAACAAUGUCAAUAAAAUAUAAUUUCUAUCAAUGUUGAUUAAACAAUCCCAACUUACAUCGACCACAAUAAUUUCAUUGAUGUCGAUAAAAAAAAAUCUAAUUGGUAUUUAGCCAAAAAAUAGUCCUAUUAUUGUUGGUUGAGAAAUAAUUCUAACAUACAUUUUAAAUAAAAUAUUUGAUGAUAAACAAUCUUGAAUUAUAUCAAUUGAAACUAAUUCAAAUUGAUAAAAAUUGUGUUUUAUAUCAAUUGAAAAUAUUGUUAACAUUGACAAUGAAAAAUUUGGCUAAUAACAGUUAAGAAAUACAAACCUAUAUUGGUAAAAAAAAAAUUGAUAAUAACUAAAAAUAAAAAUUAACUUUAGAAGAGAAGAACUUUAAUAAAGCUUAAAUUAUGUUUUUAAAAAACUUUUUUUUUUUGCAUUUAAGCCUAUUAGACACUUUAAGGUUGUCUAAUGAUUUUAUAAAAUAAUUCAUAAUUGUUUUAAAAAAUGUUUUAUGACAACUAAGAGUGAUAAAACACAAGUAAUACAAAAAGACAAUAAUCACAAUGAUUUUUAUACUCGCCCACCCUUAACCUGAGUUGCGUCUAAUGGUUUUAUAAAAUAAUUCAUAUUUUUUUUUCAAGCAUGUUUUACGACAACUAAUAGUGAUAAACAUAUGUUAUACAAGAAGACAACUAACACAAUGAUUUGUAUACUUACUCAUGCUUAACUUGGUUGCAUCUAGUUUUUCAAUGUCAAUAAUAAAGAGCUAAACUGAUCAAACAUGAUUACAAGUUGUCUUACUACUACUUUUGACUAUUCACUAAUCUUCCCUUAAGAUUAAAUAUGAGUACACAAGGUCUCUACAGAAAAUGUACACAAAUCCUAUACAAGAAAAGUAAACAAAAUAUUUCUAGGCUAUACAACAGAUAUGUUGUUUAUAUAAGACUCACACAAAAACGAGUGGAUAUGAAAUCUAAAACUACUUAUACUAAGAGAUAACUUCACAAAAAUAACAAAUUUGCAAAUACAACACUCUCUUUCUGUUGUCUAACAAACAUUUUUUCUUAAGCACUUAAAAAUUAAGAAAGAAUGGUCAUAUGAGCUUUUGUACACUUGUUGGUUCAACAAACUCAUAUGCAUGGUGAAACUUUUAUUUAUGAGUUAUAAAAAUGCUCGUUUUGACCUAAUGCUUUGGACUUUGCGUUAGUGUUUUAUUAGUGAUUGUUUGUCUUUAUGUUGACACUUCUUUGUUAAGCACCUUUUCUUUAGGUGAAGAACAAACUUUAGUAGUUAUCUCUAUUAUACUAAUUACACUAAAAUGGGCAUACAAUGCUCAUGUGUAGGUUGGCAAAUGUCAACAUUUGCUUUGAAAAUUUUUAGAAUCCAUUUGGAACAAAUAAUCUUCCAUGUGUCCAAGGUUGCAAUUUUUAAAAUGUUCCUAAUUAUAUGAUUGUUUAGUCUUGAUGUAAGUGUUUACUGCUUAUAGACUUGUCUAUUCAUUAAGAUCUUACAUCUAAUGUUUUUUUAGAUACUCGUUUGGUCUUUGUUGACUUUUAUCUAACGUUUUAAGCAAAAAUGUCCGAGCUCCUAUAUGCUUAAUGAUUUAAUAGGGUGUGUCUCGCAAACAUUUAUAAAGUGAUAUUGAUCAUAAAAAUUUAUCAAUUAUUUUUAUAAUACAUUAACAAACUUGUUAAAUGACAAAAAAUUUGAAAUUAUUUGUUAUUAAACAAAAUUUUCUUAUCUCUAUAAAUUGUCAUGUUUUAAUGAUAAUAAAAAAAAUAAUUUGGAUUCAUUUUAACCUAAAAGAAACAUCAUCAACAUCAAUAAAAGAAAUUUUUAUAUAAUAAUAUUCAAACUGAAGCCACCUAAACUCUAAAAACACUCAACUUAAGAAAAAAAAUACGAAAAAAAUAUAAAUAAAGUAGAAAAAUAAAUUAAGAAGUAUUUUAAAUUCUUUAUUUUUAAAUAAAAAUUAAAUUAUUCAAUUUAAUUAAUUAAGUUAUUAUGAUAGAUUUAUAAAAAUUUACAACCAAACAAUAUACUUUAUUAUAAAAUAUUUUAAAUUUUCUAUAAAAAAUAAACUACUUUUAAGGGAAUAUUGUGUCUAUAACUUUUGUUACCAUUACUAGACAUCCAUGAUAUGUGUCUUGGUUAUUCAUAGAUACGUUUAAAGACUAACUUUCAUUUUAUUUUAAUUGUUGAUACUGGUUACCACGUGAUUUGGGACUAACCCUAAAUUGAGUAGCAGUAUCAUAAUUUUAUUUAAGUGGAGAAGUUAUUAAUUUAUAAUUUACUUUUGUAUUAAUAAUAGAUAAGAUACGUCCAUAAAAUAAGAUAAAUGGAAGUUUGCAUGGGUGGGUGAAGGAGAGUGAAGUGAAAGUUUGAUGGGAUAGGAAGAUAAGAUAGGAGGUAGAAGAAGAGAAGAGAAGUUAAAAUUGGAGUGUAACUGUAAAUAAAUAUAAUGAAAAGCUAAAGACAGAAAAGUGCACCGUCACCGUAAUCAAACGGUGGUCCAGGAGGGUGGUUGUAUCCAGUGGAGGCUUUAACUUACGAACUUCUCCUUAUAAUCACACCCUCACCGUCGCUUCUUCUUUCUCUCUCCACUCCCAUUCCACACCCUACCCACACUCUUCUUCUCUCCCACGCUUUUUCUUUUUUAUUAUUAUUAUCAUUAGGGUUUUCAUUUGGGGAAAUCAAAAUAGGGGGAAAUACUCUGGAGGAGAGUGUGUAGAAAACAUGGUUGUCGAUGAUAUGACGAAGUGCAUCAUCGUCGGCUAUGGAGGUUCCUCUUCUCGAUUUUCCGAUGCUUAUCCCAAAAGGUAAUAAUUGUUACUUCAACAUCUCUCCCUCUCUUUCAAAACCUACUUUUCUAUUCUCUCAUGGAUUUCAUGCUUUUCAUUCAGUGCUUUCCCCCUGAUUUUCGAGGGAUUUUCGAGUUUCCUGGAAUAGGAUUAAAUAUAGUUCCCCUCUAGCGUUUUCGAAAUCUCUUCCUCUCUUCUAGAGAUCGAAGAGAAAUCAUUCUCACUCUCUCUCUGUUAUAUUUAGAUAGCUAGAUAGAUAGUUAAUUCGCUACCUCUGCUCUUUGUUAUUGUUCAGGUUCUGGUUCUCGUUUAGAUCUAUUUUUUUUUAUUGAUUUAUAAGAAAAAUAGAAGAAUUGUUAUUAUUUUCUAUAGGUUGGAUUUGUUGAUUUUUUUUCUCUCUUGUUUUUUCGACUCAAUUGAUAAAUCUAGGGGUUUGAUGGAGGGGAGAUAUAGUGGGGAUUGAUAUGAUGAAGGUGUUUAUAAGGUUGUUUUGUUGAAUUGUUUUUGGGAUGGCAAUAUUGUACGAACCAGCAAUAAAACACAACAGCGAGAUGAGGUAGCAUGGGUCUUGCUUCUUUGUCAAUGGAGAAUCACCACCCUUCCACGCUCUUGUCAAUGGACUCAAGUGCAUCUUCUCAUGAGGAACUGGAUUUGGAGAUGAAUCGCCAAAUCAUACUCUCUCGCCCGCCCGAUAUCAACCUGCCCCUCUCAGCCGAGCGCAGCCCUCCCCCACAGCCGUGGAAUUCUGAGCCCUGUGAUAUUCUUGAUGUUGGUCUUGGCACCCAAGGGUAUGAGACUGAGAGUUUUAUUAAUCUGCCCAAAGCUGGAAGGAAGUGCGCUAAACGCGUUGAUAGCAUAUGGGGUGCUUGGUUUUUCUUCAGUUUUUACUUUAAACCUUCUCUAAAUGAUAAGUCUAAGGCCAAGAUUGUCAGGGACAGCAACGGUGUUUCAGGGUUCGAUAAAUCUGAUCUGAAGCUUGAUGUUUUCAUGGUUCAACAUGACAUGGAAAACAUGUACAUGUGGGUUUUCAAGGAGAGGCCUGAGAAUGCGCUGGGUAAGAUGCAGCUGAGGAGUUACAUGAAUGGGCAUUCCCGUCAAGGGGAGCGCCCCUUUCCCUUUAGUGUCGACAAGGGUUUUGCUCGAUCCCACAGGAUGCAGCGAAAGCAUUACAGAGGAUUGUCAAACCCUCAGUGUGUGCAUGGCAUUGAGGUUGUUUCCGCACCCAAUCUGAUGACCCUGGACGAGGAUGAUCGAAAAAGGUGGAUAGAACUCACGGGGCGAGAUUUGAAUUUCACAAUCCCACCAGAAGCAAGUGAUUUCAGUUCAUGGAGAAAUCUUCCCAACACGGACUUUGAGCUUGAGAGACCACCUCCCCCAAUCAAGAAUGGUCCUAAUGCUCACCCGAAGAAACUGCUUAAUGGAUCUGGACUGAAUUUGUCAAGUCAUCUAUCUAACCACAGUAAUGGCGAUGGCUUGGACCUCUCUCCUGUCAGCAGCAAGAAGAGGAAGGACUUUUUCCCUCAUGGAAAUGAAGAAGAAUGUUACUUGGCUGUUAAUCCUCCAUCUGAUCGUAUUCCAGAUAUAGAAAUGCACCCAAGCGAGCCACACUGGUUGAAUGACUUCAGCGGGGUGAUAAAGAGUGUUUAUGGACCUGUUACAGCUGCAAAAACUAUUUAUGAGGAUGAACAAGGUUACUUGAUCAUCAUUAGUCUGCCCUUUGUAGACCUUCCAAGUGUGAAAGUUUCGUGGAGGAACACUCUGACUCACGGUAUCAUAAAGGUUUCUUGUAUGAGCACAUCUCGAAAACCUUUCAUCAAGAGACAUGACAGGACAUUCAAACUUACAGAUCGAUCGUCAGAGCACUGCCCUCCUGGAGAGUUUGUCCGAGAAAUCCCUCUUUCAACCCGAAUUCCUGAAGAUGCCAACAUAGAAGCAUACUAUGAUGGGCCAGGAUCAGUGCUUGAGAUCCUGGUGCCAAAACAUCGCGUGGGUCCAGAAGAGCAUGAAGUCCGUGUUUGCCUCCGCCCUCAUCUGGGAGGGAAUGAUCUUAAGUUAACAUGAGAUAGGCACUAAAAGAUUGUUAGGAUUUCAGUUUGGUGCGCAUGUCAUUGUUUCUAACUAUGUACCAUACAGUGUUAUCUGCAAUAGAAUUGUGUCUUAUAUACUUGUCUUGUCUCUAGCAAUUUUAGCUCACUGACUGCUCUUGUUCUUUUUGUUCCGGAGCAUCUGUAUGCUUUUGAUUACCAGUAUUGAACAACUAGUUCUCAUAAUUUAUAUGAAAUUAUCAAAUCAAUGCCUUUGAAAUUAUUUGUCAUUUGAUUUCGACCUUUAAUUGGAUUCUGAUUUAUUAUGCUGUUGUCGUAAUUAUCUCUUAAUUUGAAUAGAAUUGUAUUCAAGAGUAGAUGAUAGUUUUGCCUCCCCAUGUGUGUUUAUUCUUGGGAAUACAUCCCUGCAGUUGCAAUGUAAAAGAGUCGUGAUAGAGUUAACUUCCACUACUGUACAAUGAUGAAUCUAACGAACAAAUAAACUGCUCCAAUUGGUCUCCAUGACUGUGUUACUAUAUUAACGUCGUUCGUUAUCUUAUACAGGACUGGGUGGGUUUCUAACGGAAAGUCUGAAACCAUUGGCCAUAAUAUCCACACCUUUUCUAACAGAAAUUUCAAUUCGAGGUACCUACCUUUUUAGACUAUGUUGGAAUAUUGGUAAAAAGAACAAAGUCAACACCCACUAUUAAAUUAGCAAACCUGAAGAACCUGUUACCUGUGGAAUAAUUUUAUUGUUUUCUGAAAUUUCCAAAAAUGAUACGUUGACUAAAUAAUACAAGAUAUUUUACCAAUCUCGUUAUGUGAUUCCUAUGAAGUUUGUAAUGGACUAAGGUUUGAAACGAUGUUGUGGGUGUCCAGAGAAAAAGGAGGCAUAGGGGGAUAUUUUGGGUAACAGAAGGAGCAGGAAGCAAUUGUUGACUAAAAGAUUGGUGUGUUUGUGUGGUGAGUGUUUAGAGCGCAAUGGAUGGAUGGAUGAGAUAGAGUGGAGUGGGGAAGUGUUUCCUUCAUGUUUGUUGGGGAAGGAUGAUGAUUUUCUCCCUCUCCUUUUUUCAUCAGUGCAUGUCCUUUUCUUUUAUUUUCUCUCUCUAUUUGCUCAUUAAAUAUUUACUCUUCUCAUUUACGUGUUAGGAUGCCUACCAUCCUCUGAUAAACAGAUGGAUAACCAGUGGUCCAGUUAACCUUUAUUUUUGGAAAGGAGUGCCACUGGGGGUCAAUUUCAUAUUCAAAAUUCCUUUUAUUAUUAUUAUUUCUUUAUAUAGUUAACAACUCUCCCACCAAUAUCUAAUUAGUGCUUUUUCUAUCUUUUCAUUCUAGUAAAAAAGGACGUAGAAUAAUUUCUUUCAAUUUAUAGAAACUACCUUACUUUUCAUCCUUUUCCCAAAAAGCUUUGUGCCAGUUUAACCAACCAACCAAAAUUGAAAUUUAAUGUGAAUGUUUUCGACAAAACUCAUACUUUUUAAUUAACUCUAAAAAAUCAAUAACUUCUGAUUUAUAAGAUUUACAUUUUGUUUGGAAUCAUUAGAAAAUUAAAGUGAAAAUAUACCAAGUUUUUAAAAAAUCAUUCAAAGUUAAACUAAAUUUCCACAAUAAAAUAAGUAUUUUUUUUCAGCAAUAAAUAAUAUAAUAUAAGUGAUACAAGGGAUACAAAUAUACACAUAUAUACAAUAUGUAUGAUUAAAGGACCAUAUCUAUAAACAAUAUGACAAAAACAUCAUUUAAUUACAAUUUUUUUUAUUAUCAAAACUAUCAUAUAAGUAAUUAUAUAGAACUCGUUGUCAAAAGUAUAAUUUUCUUACUACAACCAAUGACAUUACCUAUUUCCAUUCCACGCAUACUUUAUUUAUCAUUGUCCUAUGCACCUGAGUUUUCCUCCACCUGCAUAAUUUUGUGACACUUCAUUACCAUCCCAAACAUACUAAUCAAAGAACAUACCCAUGAAUGCACCUUGUCUGUAUAAAAUCCCCAAUAUAUUUACAAGAAACUUCUGUACCAGAGGCAUAUCUGCUAUUAAUAGUAGAACCAAAGAACACCCUACUUUUAUACGUUUAGAAUCAUAUACACCUUCCAACCAUCCCACUCUGCCUUCUCUGCUCACAACCACUUCAUCCAAUCUAUUUACACAUGCACAGUCCACGGCAGAAGCAUCAUUGGAAGAAUAAUGGACAUUCCACAUUAUCUAUCUUCUUAUGCCACUUCCAUGAGUACAUCUUUAUCUGCUGAAUACUUUCCCUCCAAAGUACACUUGUUUUCUCUCCACAAACUCAAAGUAAUUGCAAACCAUAAUAUACUCCACACCUCUUAAAAAUACAUUCCCCUUGCUUAUGUUGCCAGAAAUGUGCUUCCACUGAUCCAGAAAACCAAUGUUUACCUCCACCAGCCAUAACAUGUUUUUCAUACCCAAUCCACCUUACGACAACUGAACAAAAUAUGCUUGAAAGAGUCUGGUUCCAACUUACACAUAGGUCAGAGUCAGGUUGGAGGAUAUUUCUCUUACUCAAUUGAUGCAUUGUUAGUAACAUAUUCUUAAUCGUUAUCCAGAUACAAAAAAAACUUACUCUGCAAACAUAUAUCAGACUAAAAGUUUACACUAUUCUCAUCAAACCACCCAUUCAGACUCUUUUUUCAAAACACCAUCUUUAAAUACCUCCACCAUGAAGUUGCUUUUCUGAUAUCCACUUUUUUGUCUUACUUCAUCCCACCCACCAUCCAUUUACUUAAUAAGGCCUUAUUAAACAAAUUUACAUGUUUUACCCCUAAACCACCUACUUCCUUAGGCCUACAAAUCCCAUCUUUUCUAGCAGAUCUUUCUUCUCUCCCACAGAUAACCAUUCUUCAAUUGAACUAGCUUUUUCACAACUUUUUUAGGGAUCUUAUAGAAGGAUAUGAAAAAUAAAGUAAUAACCAAUAGCACAACUUUGACUGUAUACAAAGUCUCUCAACAUGUGAUACCAGUUUUCUCUUCCAAUUCCCUUUCUUUGAUUAGUUAGCACUAAUAAAUAGUCCUAAGUAUGUGAAAGGAAAAGAAAAGGUUCCACAAUUGAGUUUAUUAGCCAUAGCUUCCAAAAUGCUUCAAAAACUUUUAUUUGAACCACACUACCAAAUACCUUCUUUAAUCUCCUCCUUAGUGAACUUAUAUACAAGACUAUUAAUUUUUUGUUUCUGAGAUCCUUCUGAAUUGUACAUCAUCUAGUUGAAUGCUACCUUUGCUCUUCCCAUCAAAUAUAUUCUUAAAGUAUCUUUUCACCUCGUCCUUAACCUUACAAGGCUCUUGCUCCCAUGUUCCUCUGAUGAAAAAUCCCUCCCAACAUAUUCUUACUCCUUUUCCUGUUAAGAUAAGAAUGAAAGAAUUUAGAAGUCUUGUCUCCUUCCUCCAACCAUCUUAUCUUAGUUUUUUUGUCUAUAUACCAAGAUUCAUUUGAUUUUGCUAGUUCCAAAAAUUUUCUGCUACAGUAAGCAAUUUUCCCAUCUUUCUUCACCUUCUAAACUCUACACCUCUUCUUUGAUGUUUAGCUCAUUCAACUUAUUUACCACCUUUUGAAUAUUUACUUCUAUGUUUCCUAUUCACACCCAAUAACUUUCUCUCUCUCGUUCAUUCUUAUUAUAUCGAGAACUUGUUCCAAUAUAUAAUCACUGAUUUAUGAUUUAUAUAUGAAGAAAUUGUAUUUUGGUCAAAUUUUAUAUAAAUAGAUGAGAUUGUAUAUUGGUGGAAGUUGUCAAAUGUUAUAUUAUUGAAAAACUAAAAUAUCAAUUUCUUGAAGUCUACUUGUCAGCGGAAUUAGAAUUGUGAUAAGAGUGCUUGGAAUGUCACUCUUCAAAUGGUAUAUUGAACUAAAUAACAUUUUAAACUAGCUUUUAAUAUAUUAUUAUACUUGUAAAUUAAUCUUUUAACAUUAUUAUUCUAAAACUAAAUCUGCAGUAUUUUUAAAAAAAAUAAAGUAAUACACUCUUAAAUUAUAAAUUGAAAUAUACAAUGUAAUACGCGUUUCCUCAUUUAUUUCAAUUUAAGCUUAAUUUGAAGUUUUGUGAUUUAUGUUUCUAUUGAGUUAAUAGUAAAAUUUAGUGUAUUUUUUUUUCUAGUGCAGAAGUUACUUAAUAUUUUUUUUCAACUCAGUCAAUUUCCGAUGUAAAAUCAAAUUAAAUUGGUUCAAGCUCGUAAAAACUAUCUAAAAUCAAAUUAAUAACCAUUUUAACGUGAUUGUUAAGAAUUUAAAAUGAAAUCAAACACACACUCGAGAAUAAAUCUAAUUUUCAUCUAUAACAAUAUACAAGGUAGAUUUUUUUUUACAUUUUUUAAUUUUAUCGUUUAUAAUAUUAAAUAUAAUAAUUAUUUAUUUUAAAUUAAAAUUUUGAAUUUUAAAAAUUUAGAAAAAAUUGACUUGUAUAAAAAACAAAUAACCCAAUUUCUUACAAAUUUACUCUUACUUUUUUUAAAAAAUUCAAAUAAUUCUUCCCAAUUAAAAACUACUUACACAAUAAAAAAUUGCAUACAACAAAAUUAAAAAAAUUAUUUAUUUUAUAAUUGCUUUUAAUAAAUUUUUUAUAAUUUAAUAAUAUAUUUUUAUUUCAAUAGUUAUUAUAAUAAUAGUAAUUUAAUAAAAAACAAUUGAAUUGUUUUUAAAUAAUAAUGUACUUUAUUUAGAUUAUUUAACUUUUAAUAAAAAUAAUAAUUUUUUAUUUAUUUAAUAAAAUAAAUAAUUGAAUAAUUUAUUUUUAUUUUAAAACAGUUAAAUAACUUCUCUUUUUAUAAAUAACGAUUAUAUAUAUAAUAGUUGUUAUAAUUUAAUAAAAAAAAUUAUUUCUUNNNNNNNNNNNNNNNNNNNNNNNNNNNNNNNNNNNNNNNNNNNNNNNNNNNNNNNNNNNNNNNNNNNNNNNNNNNNNNNNNNNNNNNNNNNNNNNNNNNNAAGUAUAUAUAUAUAUAUAUAUAUAUAUAUAUAUAUAAGAGAGAAAGAGAGAGAGAUUAAUUAGUUUCUUCAAUCAUAAAAGAUUUUGAUUAUAUUUGAUGCAUUUUAAAGCAUAAUAUCAUUAAACAAAUGUUUGAAUAAUUUGAAUUUAAAUAUUAAUAUUAAUGUUCGUUUGAAUUUAUUAUUAAUACAAGUUUGAACUUAUUAAAAUAAAAUCAAUUUAGUGGUGUAUAUAUUAUAAUAAUGACGACUUUUUAUUAAAAUAUUGAAAGAUAAAAAUUUGAAUGUGCAUGUUGUCUUUACAUAAACAAUUAAUUAAUAACCUAAUGCAGAUAUUCAGUUUUAAUAUUAUUGUGAUCCUACAUGUAUAAAGAGUAUUGUUAUUAUUUGUUUUUUUAUUAUAAAAAUUAUUAGUUAUUAGAUGUGUUAUAUAUUUUUUUUCAAGAACUUGUUUUUGUUCCGAUAAUUUAAAAUAAGAACAUUUAUAAUGCGCAUUGUUUUUUUUUCUAAACAAAACAAACUGUUAGUUAGAAAUAAGUAAAAUAAUAUUUGUAUUAAUAUAUAAACAUUAAUUUUAAUACUAAUUAAUAAAGAGCAACAUUUGAAAAAAAAAAAUAUGUGUUAAGUCAAUUUAUAGAAGAUUAUCCGAAACUAUAUUAUAGAUCGGAUAAUUUAGAAAUAUUUUGAAUUUAUUGAAUUUCUAAUAUAGUUUUAGAUUAUAUAAUUCAAAAAAUGAUAGAAAUUGUAUAGAAAAUAAUAUAGUUUGUGGAUGUUUUUAUAUUUUCCUUUUUUAUAUUAUUGGGGUGGUAGAAAAUUGUGGUGUUCACGAAGAAGAUAAUUUUUUUUUAGAACAAAUGACUUAAUCUUCGGCUUAGAGUUGUAAAUACAUAUUCAGUUUAGGACGAGUUUAGUCAGGUAUUAGAUCAAACUGAGUUGGUCUAGUAAAGUCAACUUGAGUUAGUUCAAGUUCAAGUAGAUUCGAGUUAGUUCGGAUUUAGGUCGAGUCGAGUCGGCUUGGGUUCAAGUUGAGUUGUGUUGACUCUAAGCCAAGUUGGUUUGGGUCUAAGCCAAAUUGAAUUGGUUUGGACUAGAUUUAGCCAAGUCGACCUGAAUUAGAUUGAGUUAAGUCAUGUUGGGUUAAUUAGAUAGAGUCAAAUUGACCUAGAUUGAGUUGAGAUUCUACAUCAAAUCGAUCCCACAUUAAAAUUAAUUUAAUUAACAAAGUAAAAUUAAUUUAAAUUUAAUCUAAUAAAAAUAAAAUUAAAAGUAACUAAAUUUUUUUUAUCUAUGAAUCUGAAUUUCAAAUCUAAUAUUGGAUUUUGAUUGGAUUUAGACUGAAUUUCAAAAUCCAAUUGUUGACCCACCCUAACAAUAAACAUAUAAGUAUCUCUUAAUUUAAGUUUAGUUUAUAAUUAUAUUGGUGAAGAUUAUUAUUCUUCGAUGUUGGUGAGUUUGUGCAAAAGAGUUAAAUAGGCACCAGGUAUUUCUAAUGAAGUGUACAUAUAACCUUUAAGAAAUGAAAAUUAAAAUAACUUCAGUUUAAUAUGUUUUUCAUUUCCUUAUUUUCAUAUGAAAUUGAUUUUUUUUAAUUUAAACUUUAUAGCCCAUGUGUACUUAUAUUAAUAUUUUUAUAAUAGUUAUGUAUGCAUACAUGUAAUAUUAUUUAAUUACUUUUAAAAUAAAUUUAUUAAAUUUAUAAUAAUUACUUUUAAAAUUAUAUCAUUAAUGUCUUUAAUUAAUUUACAUCAAAAUAUAUUUACAUUAACAAUACACGUGGCAUGUCUAUAAAGUAAAAGAAUCAAAUAAUGUAACGCUAGAAUUAGUCUAACGGCAAGUUCUUAAUAUUUUUGUUCAUUAUUAAAUAUUGUUAUCGUUUUAGUUAAAAAUCUUAAUAAUUUUAUCGUUAUUAAAUGAUAAUACUUUUCAUCGAGAAUGUUUAAAAUGGGUCAUAUUUUAAUUUGAGAAUUUUAUUGUAUAAUAAAUAAAUUUUGUCUAUUCGUUUAAUAAAAUAAAUAAUUUUUAAUAUUAUUUUUUUGAAUUAUGACUAUUUUAUGUUUUAGACGUAAUUGUAUGAUAAUAUAUAUAUAUAUAUAUAUAUUUAUUUUUACUAUUAUUUAUUUUUUGAUAUAAUAAAAUAUGUUUUCCGCUAAGUAAAAAUGUAAAUACCCCUUUCCGUAGUAAUACAAAUUAUUAAAAUAGAUUUUUGAAUUAAUUGGCAACCUCACCAACCUUAUCUAUGUGUGUCUGUUUCUUUAGAAUGCGAAAGUAAUAAACACAAUGGGCUUAUAAAUUAUAAAUUAUAAAUGAUGAUGAAACGCAUGUAAUUGCUUCUUCUUUCUCUCUCCGCUCGAUUUCACACAAUUCUUCUGUUUCACACUAACAACAAUUACAAAUAGGGUUUUCAUUUGGGGGACACGAAAUAGGGGGAAGUAUCCAGGAGGAGAAUGUGUAGAGAACGUCGAUCAUCGUCGAUUUUAUGAAGCUUCCUCUUCUUCUCCAAUCUCUGAUGAUUAUCCCAAAAGGUAAUCAUCCUUGAAGAUCUCCAUCCUACUCAGUCUCUCUUUCAAAUUUUUUUUUUUUUUUACUCUCCAAUGGAUUUCAUGGUUUUAAUUCAGUGUUUUUCUCCUCAUUUUGGAGAGAUUUUUGAGUUACGUGGAAUAGGGUUAAAUAUAAUUCCCCUCUAGCGUUUUCGAAAUCUCUUCCUCUCUUCUAGAGAUUGAAGAAAUAUCACUAUGUCACUGGCUGAGUUAUAUAUAGGCAGCUAGAUAAAUAGUUAAUUAGUCAAAUUUUUUUCCUGUUCUUGUUGUCGUUCAGGUCUAUUCUUUUUAUUAAUUUAUAGAGAAAAAUGAAUAAUAAUAAUAAUUAUUAUUAUUAUUAUUUCGAAUAGGUUGGAUUUUUUUUAUUUGUUUUCUCUUUUAUUCAAUUCAAUUGAUAUAUCUAGGACUUGAUGAAGGUGAGAUAUAGGGGGAUUGAUAAGAUGAAGGAGUUUAUAAGGUUUUGUUGAAUUGUUUAUGGGAUGCCAAUAUUGUAAGAAUCGGCGAUAAAACUCAUCACCGUGAUGAGGUAGCAUGGGUCUUGCUUCUUUGUCAAUGGAGAAUCACCACCCCUCAACGCUCUUGUCAAUGGACUCAAGUGCAUCAUCUCAUGAGGAACUGGAUUUGGAGAUGAAUCGCCAAAUUGUACUCUCUUGUCCGCCGGAUAUCAACCUGCCCCUCUCCGCUGAGCGUAGUCCGCCUCUACAGCCGUGGAAUUCUGAGCCUUGUGAUAUUCUUGAUGUUGGUCUUGGCACCCAAGGGUAUGAUACUGAAAGUUUUCUCAUUCCGCCCAAAGCUGGGAGGAAGUGUGCAAAGCGUGUUGAUAGCAUAUGGGGUGCUUGGUUUUUCUUCAGCUUUUACUUUAAGCCUUCUCUAAAUGACAAGUCUAAGGCCAAGAUUGUCAGGGAUAGCAACGGUGUUUCAGGGUUCGAUAAAACUGAUCUGAAGCUUGAUGUUUUCAUGGUUCAACAUGAUAUGGAAAACAUGUACAUGUGGGUUUUCAAGGAGAGGCCGGAGAAUGCAUUGGGUAAGAUGCAGCUGAGGAGUUACAUGAAUGGGCAUUCUCGCCAAGGGGAGUGCCCGUUUCCUUUUAGUGUUGACAAGGGUUUUGUUCGAUCCCACCGGAUGCAGCGAAAGCAUUACAGAGGACUAUCAAACCCUCAGUGUGUGCAUGGCAUUGAGGUUGUUUCCGCACCCAAUCUAAUGACCCUGGAUGAGGAUGAUCGAAAAAGGUGGAUAGAACUCACUGGGCGAGAUUUAAAUUUCACAAUCCCAGCUGAAGCAAGUGAUUUCAGUUCAUGGAGAAAUCUUCCCAACACGGACUUUGAGCUUGAGAGACCACCUCCCCCAAUCAAGAGUGGUCCUAAUGCACACUCGAAGAAACUGCUUAAUGGAUCUGGCCUUAAUUUAUCAACUCAUCUCUCUAACCACAGUAAUGGUGAUGGGUUGGACCUCUCUCCUGUUAGCAGCAAAAAGAGGAAGGACUUUUUCCCUCAUGGAAAUGAAGAAGAAUGUUACUUGGCUGUUAAUCCUCCAUCUGAUCGUAUUCCAGAUAUAGAAAUGCACCCAAGUG
rnacentral:lncRNA from 1 species